UCAUAAGUAGAGUGCAUCAUUUAAGCCAAGCAAGCUGUGGUCAAUACAAAUCCACCAUGAAGACCUUUCUCAUCCUUUCCCUCCUUGCUAUCGUGGCAACCACCGCCACAACUGCAUUUAGAAUUCUAGUGCCACAAUUGCAGCCACAAAAUCCAUCUUAGCAACAACCACAAGAGCAAGUUCCAUUGGUACAACAACAGCAAUUUCUAGGGCAGCAACAACCAUUUCCACCACAACAACCAUAUCCACAGCCGCAACCAUUUCCAUCACAACAACCAUAUCUGCAGCUGCAACCAUUUCCGCAGCCGCAACCACCAUAUUCGCAGCCGCAACCAUUUCGACCACAAUAACCAUAUCUCCACAACCGCAACCACAGUAUUCGCAACCACAAUAACCAAUUUCGCAGCAGCAACAACAACAACAACAACAACAACAACAACAAAUCCUUCAACAAAUUUUGCAACAACAACUGAUUCCAUGCAUGGAUGUUGUAUUGCAGCAACACAACAUAGCGCAUGGAAGAUCACAAGUUUUGCAACAAAGUAGUUACCAGCUGUUGCAAGAAUUGUGUUUUCAGCACCUAUGACAGAUCCCUGAGCAGUCGCAGUGCCAAGCCAUCCACAAUGUUGUCCAUGCUAUUAUUCUGCAUCAACAACAAAAACAACAACAACAACAACAACAAAAACAACAACCAUCGAGCCAGGUCUCCUUCCAACAGCCCCAGCAACAAUAUCCAUCAGGCCAGGGCUCCUUCCGGCCAUCUCUGCAAAAUCCACAGGCCCAGGGCUCGGUCCAGCCUCAACAGCUGCCCAGUUCGAGGAAAUAAGGAACCUAGCGCUACAGACGCUACCUGCAAUGUGCAAUCUCUACAUCCCUCCAUAUUGCACCAUCGCGCCAUUUGGCAUCUUCGGUACUAACUGAGAAGAAAAUAACUCUAGUACUAGAUAUAUGAAACACCGUUUUCUUAGUCCAUGGUUUGGUCAUUGUAGCGGUGAAAAAAUAAAGUGACAUGCACUACCAUGUAAGAACUCGAACUAUACUAGUUCAAACUUGGGAAUAAAAGACAAACACAGGUCUUGUCUACAUAUUUAUGUUGCAUUUAUCUAAAGAUAACAAAAUGAGUCUAAAAUUUGAAUUAAAUUGAAGUAUUUUCUUGGACUUUCAAAUUGAGUAUUAUUAACGUAGUAAGGACUAUCCUCAUCCUUGGCCUGCCCCUAAUCAAUUAUUUCCAGAGAAGCAUUCAAUUCAUCAAUCAAUUACAUUGAUUUUUGUGGCUGGUACUUCUCCUCAACAUCAGUAUAUUCACCGUGGCUACUCCAAAUCGGCAAGAAUGAGGUACCGGUGCUCUGGAGCAGUGCCAACUAAUUGCUUCUCAUGUGAAGGGGUGCGGGCGCGGGAGAGGUAUUUCUGGUGGGCCAAGGGAGUAAGAAGCCACCGUGGGAGUGGUACAGACGCCCGUAAAGCCCCAUAGUUUCUUUUUGGUUUACAGGAAAAUGCACAUCCAUACCGGCCUGGGGAGUAUAGGACCGUAUUGGAUGGAAAACCAUGUCCGGAUGGUUGCGAGCGGUUUGAGGGUUAGCUUUUGUAACGCCCGGUUAGUUAUGCUAUAGCAAUUCCCUGCUAAUGAUGUCACGUCACCAAGAUUACUGUUGUUAUCCUCACAAUGAUUCAAUGCCAUUCUAAUUCAAAUUUAAAAUAAAGGCAAGCAUCAAAAGUUUUCAAACAUUAAAACUAAAAUCUUUGAGAGGUAACAAAUAAUGCAUAAGUAAUUAUGGUGGAGAAACCACACUUUAAUAAAAUGUUUAAAUACUCUAAAAUGAAAAAAACAGUGGCUUAAACUAUUAUUUAAAUGCUUUUAAAAUAGUAAAAAUGUUCUAACUAAAUUAAUUGGGUACCAACCUUUUGGUGGCAGUGGUAUAUUUAGUAGAACUAAUUUAGAUGCUAGUUAUAUGAUUUAGAAAAUUAGGGUCAAUUGAAAAAUAGGAUAAAACAGAGAAGGAAAGACAAAACAAAUAAAAGCAAAAGGGGGCAACCCCUCACUGGCCUUGGCCUAGCUGGCCACUGGGCUAGCUAGGUCGGCCCCGCCGCCUCCCUUAACCCCCUGUCGGUGUCGAAACCGGUGGAUGGUACCAUGAGUAGAUCUACCACGAGAUCGGAGAGGCUAAACCCUAGAGGCUAGCCUAUGAUAUGAUUGUAUGUGUCCUACGGACUAAAACCCUCCGGUUUAUAUAGACACCGGAGAGGGUUAGGGUUACACAAGGUCGGUUACAAAGGAGGAGAUAUCCAUAUCCGUAUUGCCUAGCUUGCCUGCCACGCCAAGUAGAGUCCCAUCCGGACACGGGACGAAGUCUUCAAUCUUGUAUCUUCAUAGUGCAACAGUCCGAAAAAGGAUAUAGUCCGGCUGUCCGGAGACCCCCUAAUCCAGGACUCCCUCAGUAGCCCCUGAACCAGGCUUCAAUGACGAUGAGUCUGGCGCGCAGUAUUGUCUUCGACAUUGCAAGGCGGGUUCCUCCUCCGAAUGCAUCACAGAAGAAUUUGAAUACGAGGAUAGUGUCCGACCCUGCAACAUAAGUUCCACAUAAUUCCAUACAGAGAAUAAUAUUUUCGCAAAUCUAAUUUGCUUACUUGUUUUGACAGUACGACAUUAUGUCAUGGCCCGGUGAUUAUUCGAACCGUUUCCUUUAACUAGCCCCGCACAUAACGCGAGGCAGUUUUUCGACAUGUCUUGUCAAAGCAGAGAUCGUGUCCCCUUAUUACUGGAUUCUCAUCAAUACGGGCGUGGGUAACCCAACCGCGCCAUCGAUUGCGGCACUUGGGGGAUGAGCUAUUUUUACCUGGCAAGUGGGGACGCUUAGUUUCGUCCGCCCAUAUAAAGGGAUAAGGAUUCACCUUUCUAUCCAUGCCUUCUUCCUCCUUUGCUCAUCCGUUUUUGCACACUCGAGCUCUAGCGCCCAAGUUCGCACUUCCCACCUCAACCUUCUCCAACCAUGUCCCGAGCGGGAGGCAGGUGGAUGGUAUCCUCCGUCACGGAUGGAGACAUCAAGAAGCUGAGGAGCGCCGGAUACCUGCCUGACGACAUCGCGCACCGGCUCCCAGAUGAGGGGCAGCUCACCCCCACCCCCAGGCCCCAUGAGAGGGUAGUGUUCCUCACCCAUUUCCUCCGCGGACUGGGAUUCCCUCUCCACCCAUUUGUCCCGGGGCUCAUGUUCUAUUACGACCUGGAUUUCCAUGAUCUGGCCCCGAACUUCAUCCUCAACAUCUCGGCGUUUAUCGUUGUGUGCGUGGCCUUCCUCCGCAUCAAGCCCCACUUCGGCUUAUGGUUGAAGACCUUUAAUGUCAAGCCGAAGGUUGUGGGCGACCGCCAGGCGGAGUGCGGAGGCGCCAUGGUGGGCAAGAUGCCCAACGUAACAUGGCUCGAGGGCUCUUUUGUGGAAACCAUAAAGGGGUGGCAAUCGGGUGGUUCUACAUCACCGAGCCGCGUGACCCUGCAUGGGCAGCGGCCCCCCGAGUUCUGAUCUGGCAUCCCCACGCGGCUCACCUCCUGGAAAGAGAAGGGCCUGUCCUGGGGUAGUUUGGAAGAGCUGACCAGACUCCAAACAUGUAUUCAAAACAUGGUGAACAAGAAGCUCAAACUCGUCAACGUGGUCCAGGUCAUGCUCCACCGCCGGAUCCUCCCGUGCCAAUAACGGGAGUUCAACUUGUGGGAGUACAACCCAGCGCAGCACCGAACUCUGAACAGGCUUUUCGACACAACUCACGAAGAUGCCUCGAGGGUGCUGUUCAAAAUCACCAAGGUCCCCCUCCCAUUACUGAGGAUCACGGAUUCAGCGUGAAGCGCCAAGCCAGUGCGGCAGGCUGCUUUACCUUUCACAGGCUACUUAUUUUUUAUAGAUUGACUCCAUGCGGGAUCUAAACUCCCGUACCUUUGACAGGACUGGCAGGAGAUGGCCGGACAGAUCGACUGUCCGGCUCCUAUGCCCGAAGGCCCAGCAGACGCUCUUCUAGCGAAGAUGCUGACUUCGGCUCCUUAUACGGUGCCGGAGAAGACCAAGAAGGACAAGGGAACCCGAAAGAGUUCCCGACGCCAGGCGUCGUCGGACUCACCGUCCGAUGACUCUGCGGCGCACUCCUCCCCCGAAGACGAGGAAGAGGAAGAAGACGCUCCCUCUCUGGCUGGGGGAGAUAAGAAAAGGAAGGCCGCCCCAACUGGGGGGGCGGAAGGGUCCAAGAAGGGAAGGAAUCUCCUUCCGGAUAGUUGCACCGCUGCCGACGAAGGCGAAGACGAGGGGUUGCCCAGGGCCAAGCCCCUGGGGAGAUCGUAAGUAUUCAGAUACCAGAGUAACUCAUAGCAUUCCUUUGUCGCACUGCUUUCCCUAACGUCAAACAUAAUUAUGCAGGUCGCCAUGAGCCAGUAUCGAUGUGUGACGCCCGGAUAAUCAUGCUACAGUAAUCCCACGCUAAUCAUGCCACGUCACCUCGGUUACUGUUGCUAAUCUAUCGUUAGGUCAAAGCUGGUCCAAAAUUCAAAUUCAAAGUUUGGUAAAUAAUAACAGUUUUCAAAAAUUAAAACAAAAAUGUUCGGUGAUUGCCGAAUAAUGCAUAGGUAAUUAUGGUGGAGAAACCACACUUUUAUAAAAUGUUUAAAUAAUCUAAAAUGAAUAAAACAGUAGAAAAACCAAAUCUAAAUGCUUUUAUAAAUAAAUAAAACACUAAACUAAAUUGUUUUGGGAUAAAGCCUUUUGUGGCAGUGGGUUUCGUGGUAUUACAAUUUUAGAGUUCAUUUUAAUACUAAGUAAGAAGUAUAAUUAAGAGAAACUAAAAUAAAGAACAGAAAAAAAAGAAUAAAUAAAAGGAAAAGAAAACACAAAACAGAAAAGAAAACUACCAAAAAAAUAUGGUAAAAGGAGACCCCCCCCACUGGACCCCUUGGCCCAACUGGGCCAUGGCCCAGCCGGCCACCCCCNNNNNNNNNNNNNNNNNNNNNNNNNNNNNNNNNNNNNNNNNNNNNNNNNNNNNNNNNNNNNNNNNNNNNNNNNNNNNNNNNNNNNNNNNNNNNNNNNNNNNNNNNNNNNNNNNNNNNNNNNNNNNNNNNNNNNNNNNNNNNNNNNNNNNNNNNNNNNNNNNNNNNNNNNNNNNNNNNNNNNNNNNNNNNNNNNNNNNNNNNNNNNNNNNNNNNNNNNNNNNNNNNNNNNNNNNNNNNNNNNNNNNNNNNNNNNNNNNNNNNNNNNNNNNNNNNNNNNNNNNNNNNNNNNNNNNNNNNNNNNNNNNNNNNNNNNNNNNNNNNNNNNNNNNNNNNNNNNNNNNNNNNNNNNNNNNNNNNNNNNNNNNNNNNNNNNNNNNNNNNNNNNNNNNNNNNNNNNNNNNNNNNNNNNNNNNNNNNNNNNNNNNNNNNNNNNNNNNNNNNNNNNNNNNNNNNNNNNNNNNNNNNNNNNNNNNNNNNNNNNNNNNNNNNNNNNNNNNNNNNNNNNNNNNNNNNNNNNNNNNNNNNNNNNNNNNNNNNNNNNNNNNNNNNNNNNNNNNNNNNNNNNNNNNNNNNNNNNNNNNNNNNNNNNNNNNNNNNNNNNNNNNNNNNNNNNNNNNNNNNNNNNNNNNNNNNNNNNNNNNNNNNNNNNNNNNNNNNNNNNNNNNNNNNNNNNNNNNNNNNNNNNNNNNNNNNNNNNNNNNNNNNNNNNNNNNNNNNNNNNNNNNNNNNNNNNNNNNNNNNNNNNNNNNNNNNNNNNNNNNNNNNNNNNNNNNNNNNNNNNNNNNNNNNNNNNNNNNNNNNNNNNNNNNNNNNNNNNNNNNNNNNNNNNNNNNNNNNNNNNNNNNNNNNNNNNNNNNNNNNNNNNNNNNNNNNNNNNNNNNNNNNNNNNNNNNNNNNNNNNNNNNNNNNNNNNNNNNNNNNNNNNNNNNNNNNNNNNNNNNNNNNNNNNNNNNNNNNNNNNNNNNNNNNNNNNGCCCCUCGGCGCCCGCUCGGCCCUCUCCUGGGUCGGGCGCCCGUAACGCCCAGCGCCCGUAACCCGCUAUGGCCCCCUGGGCAGUUGACAGAUGGGGCCCACGCCCCUGUCUUGUUAGAAAAAAAAACGAAAAGAAAAUGUAAUUAAAAAAAUGAAAAUAAGUAAUUAGUUAUUUAAUUAAUUAUGUAACUAAUUAAUUAAUUAAAUAAGUAAUUACUUAACUUAAUUAACUCCGUUUAGUACUUAAUUAACUUGAUUAGUUAAUUAAAAUUGUUAAUUAGUUGUUAGACUAUGACGAAUGGGACCCACACGUCAGUUUGACCCAGUCAACGCCCUGUUGACUGCUGACGUCAUGCUGACGUCAGCGUACACUAUUCUGGAUAAUGUUAAUUUAAUUAAUAAUUAAUAAAUUAGAAAAUGAUUUAAAAAUUUAAAAAUUAAUAUAAAUUAAACCGUAGCUCAGAUGAAAAAACUUUGUACAUGAAAGUUGCUCAGAACGACGAGACAAAUCUGGAUACACGGCCUGUUUGUUCGUCACGCAUCCCUAGCAUAGCAAACUCGCAACUUUCCCCUCCGGCUCCUCUGCCCGAAAACGCAAAACACCGGGGAUACUUUCCCGGAUGUCAUCCCCCUUCACCGGUAUCACCUAUUACCGCGUUAGGGCACCUCUAACGCCGUUACUUGUCAUGUCAUGCAUCACUAUGCAUAUGCUUGCUUAAAUAUUUAUUAUUUCUUCCCCCUCUUCUCUCGAUAGACACCGAGACCGACGCCGCUGCUACCCAGUACGACUACGCUGUUGACGACCCUCUUUCUUGCCAGAGCAACCAGGCAAGCGCCCCCCUUGAUCACCAGAUAUCGCCUACUCUCUUCUAUACUGCUUGCAUUAGAGUAGUGUAGCAUGUUACUGCUUUCCGUUAUUCCUAUCCUGAUGCAUAGCCUGUCCUUGCUACUACUGUUGUUACCAUUACCUGCUAUCCUACUGCUUAGUAUAGGAUGCUAGUGUUCCAUCAGUGGCCCUACACUCUUGUCCGUCUGCCAUGCUAUACUACUGGGCCGUGAUCACUUCGGGAGGUGAUCAUGGGCAUAUGCUAUAUACUUUACACAGUUACUUUACCUGUGGUACUGUUCGGAGAUGGGGGCUGAAGGGGCAGGUGGUUCCACCCAGGUAGUGGUGGGCCUGGGUUCCCGACGGCCCCCGACUGUUACUUUGUGGCGGAGCGACAGGGCAGGUUCAGACCACCUAGGAGAGAGGUGGGCCUGGCCCUGGUCGGCGUCCGCGGAUACUUAACACACUUAACGAGAUCUGGGUAUUUGAUCUGAGUCUGGCCAUUUGGUCUAUACGCACUAACCAUCUACGCGGGAGUAGUUAUGGGUAUCCCGACGUCGUGGUAUCAGCCGAAGCCUUCGUGACAUCAGCGACUAAGUGGCGCGUGCCGGAUUGGACCGUAAGCCUGCUCUUGUAUUAAGGGGGCUAGUUCUGCUUCCGGCCGCGUUCGCAACGUGCAGGUGUGCAAAGGGCGAUGGGCCCAGACCCCUGCGCCAUAGGAUUUAGACCAGCGUGCUGACCUCUCUGUUGGGCCUAGGUAGGGCUGCGACGUGUUGAUCUUCCGAGGCCGGGCAUGACCCAGAAAAGUGUGUCCGGCCAAAUGGGAUCGAGCGUGUUGGGGUAUGUGGUGCACCCCUGCAGGGAAGUUUAUCUAUUCGAAUAGCCGUGUCCCUCGGUAAAAGGACGACCCGGAGUUGUACUUUGACCUUAUGAUAACUAGAACCGGAUACUUAAUAAAACACACCCUUCCAAGUGCCAGAUACAACCGGUGAUCGCUCUCUCACAGGGCGACGAGGGGAGGAUCAUCGGUUAGGAUUAUGCUAUGCGAUGCUACUUGGAGGACUUCAGUCUACUCUCUUCUACAUGCUGCAAGACGGAGGUUACCAGAAGCGUAGUCUUCGAAAGGACUAGCUAUCCCCCUCUUAUUCCGGCAUUCUGCAGUUCAGUCCACAUAUGAUAGCCUUAUUCCAAUUGAUACCAAUGCAUACAUAUGUAGUGUAGCUCCUUGCUUGCGAGUACUUUGGAUGAGUACUCACGGUUGCUUUCUCCCUCUUUCCCCCCUAUCCCUUCUACCUGGUUGUCGCGACCAGAUGUUGGAGCUCAGGAGCCAGACGCCACCGUUGACGACGACUCCUACUACACCGGUGGUGCCUACUACUACGUGCUGUCCGCUGACGACGACCAGGAGUAGUUUAGGAGGAUCCCAGGCAAGAGGCCUGCGCCUCUUUCGAUCUAUAGCUCAGUUUGUGCUAGCCUUCUUAAGGCAAACUUGUUUAACUUAUGUCUGUACUCAGAUAUUGUUGCUUCCGCUGACUCGUCUAUGAUCGAGCUCUUGUAUUCGAGCCCUCGAGGUCCCUGGCUUGUAAUAUGAUGCUUGUAUGACUUAUUUUAUUUGUAGAGUUGUGUUGUGAUAUCUUUCUGUGAGUCCCUGAUCUUGAUCGUACACGUUUGCGUGUAUGAUUAGUGUACGGUCAAAUCGGGGGCGUCACACGAUGUAUCAUCGGACGGUUCCCUAGGCUCGUCGGACAUGGAUAGCGAUCCAGUCCCGACCCCCACCUCCCCUCAUCCUGCUGACGACGCCGAGGUGCUGUCUCAAGAGGCAUCGGGUCGAGGGGAGACAGUCCUGGAGGCACCUCAAGGCGACCUUCCGGACUCCGGGAGCCGAGGGGACGGGGCCCCUAAGAGCUUCGAGUUCGGCCCUCAGCCGAACACCGCGCUGGAACCUCCAGUGGUUCCGGGCUCGGUCAGGCGGCCUCCUUCUAAGAGGGGCAAGACACCUGUGCCGGUGACCUCUGUCUAUCCAGAGGCGCCGGACAAUCUGCUGGAAGCGCUUCGCAGCGCUUCCAUCGACGAGGAGCACCGCACUAUCAUGAGUGCGGCGAUCCAGAAAGUUUAGUCCGCCAAGAGCGGAUUGACUGAAGCCUGUGCCAGCCUUCUAACAGGCUUUGAGGUAAGUGUUUUAAAAUAUAGGAAAAAUACUACUGCAUAUAUAGUAGCCCCUGAUGCUUUGUUCGGUGUUCAGAAAGAAAAGCCGAACAGAGGAUCAAAUAAUAUCGCAGGACUCUAAUAUAAGUAUGUCAAUAUGCGUAUGCAAGCCUCACUGCUGGCAUCCGCCACACUGACUGCGGAGGUCGCCCUACUGAAGCAGGACCUCGAGAGGUCUAGGAGAGAGCUCGGCCUUGUCAAGAGGCAGCUCGAGGAGAACAAGGGUAAGUAAUACCUUGUCUUUAGAUAUGUAUAUAUAAAAGAAGAAGCGAUUGCAAAAUGACAGGAUCAUCGUACAUUCGCCAGGGGCCACGACCAAGGUGGCAACCCUCAAGCAAGCGCUAACCAAGGCCGAAGAUAACGCGGCCAAGGAGCGCACCGAGUGAGAGAAGCACGAGGCUCGGGUGGGCGAGGUGCAGCAAGAGCUCUAGGCUAUCAUGGUGAAGCACGAGGCAUUGGAGCUUGACUAAAAGACGCGAGAGUCUGAGCUUUCCGCGGCCCUCGAGAGCGCAAAAAGUGCCAAGGCCGAAGCCCAAAGGGGUCUCCAGGCGGGUAUGGCUUUCUAUAUGCAAAGCAAGCAUGUAAAAGUAAAUUACCGAUUACUUACUCGAAUCCGGAGCUCUCCAGGAGCAUUCGCAGAUUUUCCACGCAGCGUGUCCGAUGCCGCACAAUUUUACCAGGCCGAGGAUGGAAGCUCAAUGGAGAAGCUGUUCUGGUAUCAGUAUGCUGAGGCCGGACACCCGGUGCCAAUGAGCGACCAGCUGAAGCAGGUGGUCGAGCUACAUAAGGCGGCCGAUCAGGCCAUGAAGGGCUUUAUAGUCCGGCUGUGGCCUGGCGACGCCCUUCCGAACAGCUUCCUCGGCCUGGUGAGGCGGCUUGUGGAUGCCUGCCCGCGGCUGGAGGUCGUCAAGCGAUCUGUCUACAUUGAGGGUGCACGCCGGGCUUUCGCCCGUGUGAAAUUGCAGUGGGUCAAGCUAGACGCCGUGAAGCUGAUCAAGGAGGGGCCGCCGGAGGGCAAGGAGCACCGCCACCCCGAGAUGUACUACGAGGGUGUUCUGCUGGGUGCCCGUCUCAUAGCGGACGAGUGUUCAAAAGAUGUAAUAUUUGAGUGAGACUUGCUCGUUUUAUCCUGUAUUUAUGAAAACUUGUUUCAUAUGCACUAUGCAACGCUUGUUUGAAUUUAGAAUAUUACCUUCUGUUUGGCCGUUUAUCAAUCUGAGAGAUGGCUAGUCCUCAGCUUCUGCCCCCAUGCCACGAGUGCUGGGGUCUUCGGGAUAAACCUGAGCACUCUUGUUCCCAUAUUUGGGUCCUUGGAGGGAGGUGCUCAGCACAACGAACAAGGAAACCCGACUAAUAAUGCUUUAUCACUCUCACUUAGCGAUAGAAUUCUAUAAUUUUAAAUUUCGGCGAAGCCCCUGGUAUUCGGAAGGCCGAAUUCGGGGCGCGAUACACGCCUUUAAGCCGGACAGGGCCGGCCCCUCGCCCUAAGCGGCAUAAGUCUUUGGGGACUCGAUAACCUCGCCGAACAGCGAUCAGUCUCUCCCCUUAUCAUGACAGUCAGUUUUAGCUUUCUCUACUUAGGUGCCGAACCCAGCAAAACCGGGGCACAAUCGCAGUAGUUCUCCUAGCGCUACCUUAGCCGAUAGAGUGGAACGUAAGGUACCAAAACAUAGGAGCCGGGCAAACCCAACAUUUGACCAAAGACAUGAUUCGGAGCUGAUGCAUAUAAUGCUAUAAGUUUGGGGUGCCGCACUUGUGAAAGUGUUCGGACUUUUCACACCGUAUUGUGGGGUACGUAAGCCCCUGGUGUAUUGGCCGUACCAAAGUGUACGGUUGCAAGGCAUCAUUAAUGAACAUAUAUAUAUAUAUAUAUAUAUAUAUAUAACAAGAGUGCAAUAAUAGUCGUAAUGUCAUGCAUUGUUUAUUCAAAAAAUUACGUUAAAGUAGGGUGAUACAGAUAGUGUGAUAAGCAAAGAGUAGGACUAUGUCCCUUCCCAAGGCAAGCUAAGGAAUGAUAUUAAAUUGAAUAUUUCGCUCGUUACAGUAAUCCACCUAGGAAUUCCGUGGUGUGACGUAGCUAUCUGCCUCCUUGGUUGCUGCAUCGUGUGUUCGGCAAUAGUGCUGCCGGACAGUGUUUCCAGAGGUUAAUGUCCUGAAAAAAAGAGAAAAAUAACCAAACGGGAAGCCCCUAGUGCGGUUUAAGCCGCGUCUUGGGGCGUGCUGCAGUUGUGCCACCCUCCCCACCUGUGCCCAUGGUAUUUUUAAUGCGUAAUUAUGUACGCGUGGCAUGAGUUUCGUCGUUGGGCUGGGAUUGGGGUGGCCGCCUUAUUGCUACGCGAGCUCAGAUCGCGCAAGGCGGUCUAUUUGCCGAUUGCUCCGAGCGCGCUUGAAGGUGUCCGGGCUUUGAAGCGCCGGACUGGUUGAUUGCCUUGAGAGGCUGCUUUGCGCUUCUGCUGCGAGGGCCGCGGUGUGCUCCUCUGUUCGGAGAGAGCACUCUGUGUUUCCAUUGACUGUAAUAACUCCGCGAGGUCCUGACAUCUUGAGCUUGAGGUAUGCAUAGUGCGGUACCGCAUUGAAUCUAGCAAAUGCGGUUCGCUCGAGCAGCGCGUGGUAACCACUGCGGAAUGGGACUAUAUCGAAGAUUAGCUCUUCGCUUCGGAAGUUAUCCGGGGAUCCGAAGACCACUUCCAGUGUAAUUGAGCCUGUGCAAUGGGCCUCUACACCUGGAAUGAGGCCUUUAAAGGUCGUUUUUGUGGGUUUGAUCCUUGAGGGGUCUAUACCCAUUUUGCGCACUAUAUCCUGAUAAAGUAGGUUCAGGCUGCUGCCGCCAUCCAUAAGGACUCGAGUGAGGUGAAAUCCGUCAAUGAUUGGGUCUAGGACUAGUGCGGAAAAUCUACCAUGAUGGAUACUAGUGGGGUGGUCCCUUCGAUCGAAGGUGAUCGGAUAGGAGGACCAAGGGUUGAACUUUGGGGUGACUGGCUCGAACGCAUAUACGUCCAUGAGCGCACGCUUCCGCUCCCUCUUAGGGAUGUGGGUUGCGUAUAUCAUGUUCACCGUCUGCAGUUGCGGGGGAAACCUCUUCUGUCCUUCGAUGUGCGGCUGCCGGGGCUCCUCCUCGUCAUCGCUAUGCGGCCCCUUGUCCUUCUUUUCGGCAAUUAACUUGCGGGCCUGCUUGAACACCCAACAAUCCCUGUUGGUGUGAUUGGCUGGCUUGUCUAGGGUGCCGUGUAUUUGACACGAGCGAUCGAGUAUACGUUCCAAGCUGGAUGGACCUGGCGUACUUUGUUUGAAUGGCUUUUUCCGCUGACCGGGUUUAGAGCCUUUGAAUCCGGCAUUGACUGCCGUAUCCUCGGUAUUUUCGCUGUUAAUGCGGCGGUUAUGUUUGUUGUGACAUGACCUGCUAUUGCCAUCCUUGGUAUCGGAGGUACCAUGGUUCUUUGAUAUGUUAUUACUACGGGCCAGCCAGCUGUCUUCUCCCGCACAAAAGCGGGUCAUGAGCGUCGUGAGAGCUGCCAUAGAUUUCGGCUUUUCCUGACCAAGGUGCCAGGCUAGCCACUCGUCUCGGAUGUUGUGUCUGAAAGCCGCUAAGGCCUCUGCAUCCGGACAGUCGACGAUUUGAUUUUUCUUUGUGAGGAACCAAGUCCAGAAUUGCCUAGCCGACUCUUCUGGCUGCUGAAUUAUGUGGCUCAAGUCAUCGGCGUCUAGUGGUCGCACAUAAGUGCCCUGAAAGUUGUUGAGGAAUGCGGCUUCCAGAUCUUCCCAACAGCUAAUGGAGUCCGCUGGCAAGCUGUUAAGCCAAUGCCGCGCUGGUCCUUUGAGCUUUAGUGGAAGAUAUUUGAUGGCGUGUAAGUCAUCACCGUGGGCCAUGUGGAUGUGGAGGAGGAAAUCCUCGAUCGAUACUGCAGGAUCUGUUGUGCCGUCGUAUGAUUCAAUAUUUACAGGUUUGAAACCUUCUGGGAAUUGAUGAUCCAUUACUUCGUCUCUGAAGCAUAAGGGGUGUGCGGCGCCUCUGUAGUGGGCUAUAUCGCGACGCAGCUCGAAUGGGUCUUGCCCGCUGUGUUCGGCCCGGCCGGAUUUGCUUUUACUGUAUCCGGCGUGACAUUUAUCGUCUCGCAGAGUUGUGCGCCCUCGUGAUCCGUAGAUCGAUCUUGCAUGCUUUGCUUUGUCCUCCAAUAUAUCUCGCAGGUCUGGCGUAUCUCCCCAUGCCUUUUUAUUUGAAUGGCGUCGGGGUGGAGGCUGAGUUUUUGGCUGGACUGCCUCUCUAUCGCGGCCACGAGGUGGCCGAUCCGGGCAGUAACCUGCACUUUGGGUAAUUCUUGGAGGGGUGCUUGAGUUUAUAUUCCUCGGCCGCGAGGACUUCAGUCCAUCUGUUAGUUAAGAGAUCUUGAUCAGCUUGAAGCUGCUGCUGCUUUUUCUUUAGGCUAUUUUCCGUGGCCAUAAGCCGGUGCUUGAAGCGCUCUUGUUCGAUGGGAUCCUCUGGUACAUCGAAUUCAUCAUCGCCGAGGCUUGCCUCGUCUUCGGAGGCGGGCGUGUAAUUGUCAUCCUCCUCCUCUCCGUCUGCCGCUCUUUCAGGAGGGUUGGCUCCUCCAUCCUCCUGCUCUAAAUCUUGCUGGAGGGGAUUAUUGUUGUCUUCGGCACUAUCCGGAGUGUUAUUAUCUCCUGUGCCGGUAUCACCACUUUUGCUUUGGCGGGACUUAGAGCGGCGCCGCUGACAUCGGCGCUUGGGUUGCUUCUUGGAGAGGUCAUCCUCCGUUAUCUCGUCGCCAUUGCCUUCUUUGGGUGUAUCCACCAUGUAUAUGUCGUAUGAUGAUGUGGCUUUCGAGUGCCCUAUGGGCGCUGGUUCAUGUUCAUCUCCUACAUCGUCGUCCAUACCAUCGAUGUCUUCGGAGUCGAAGUCGAGCAUGUCGGUUAAAUUAUCGACAGUGGCUACGAAGUGGGUGGUGGGUGGGCAUCGAAUUUCUUCGUCGUCCGCCUCCCAAUCCUGUUGGCCAUAGUCCGGCCAGGGCUCUCCUGACAAAGAGAGAGACUUUAGUGAAUUCAGAAUGUCACCGAAGGACGAGUGCUGCAAGAUAUCAGCGGCGGCGAAUUCCAUGAUCGGCGCCCAGUCGGAUUCAAUUGGCAGGGGCGCGGACGGUUCGGAGUCCGGAAAAGAGUCCGGCACCUUGGAGUCACGGGCUUUGCAGAGGAUUAGGCUGGUGUUCAACUCGAUCACCGUUGAGACUGCAGCCCCUGAGGCGGUGUCUAGCCACCCGUCCUCGACUGGCGCAGUUGGCUCCGAGCUAAGGGUCAGAGCUGAUGCGGGCGCGGCCUCUGGGGUACUGUCCGGUGGUAGAGCUAGGUCAUACCCAUCGUGACAGUGCAGCGCGCCCGGCUGUGGCUUGAAUCCGUCGAAGAUCAAGUCUCCGAGGAUGUCGGCCGUGUAGUUCAAACUUCCAAAUCUGACCUGAUGGCCAGGGGUGUAGCUUUCAAUCUGCUCCAGAUGGCCAAGCGAAUUAGCCCGUAGUGCAAAGCCGCCGAACACUGGACCGCAUCGUUGUUCAUGAUCGGAGGAGCCAUCGGGCCUAAAGGUGACGACACCGAGGAAAUCUCAAUGGAAGCACCAAUGUCGGUGUCAAAUCCGGCGGAUCUCGGGUAGGGGGUCCCGAACUGUGCGUCUAGGCCGGAUGGUAACAGGAGGCAGGGGACACAAUGUUUUACCCAGGUUCGGGCCCUCUUGAUGGACGUAAAACCCUAUGUCCUUCUUGAUUAAUAUUGAUGAUAUGUGUAGUACAAGAGUAGAUCUACCACGAGAUCAGAGAGGCUAAACCCUAGAAGCUAGCCUAUGGUAUGAUUGUAUACGUCCUACGGACUAAAACCCUCCAGUUUAUAUAAACACCGGAGAGGGUUAGAGUUACACAAGGUCGGUUGCAAAGGAGGAGAUAUCCAUAUCCGUAUUGCCUAGCUUGCCUUCCACGCCAAGUAGAGUCCCAUCCGGACACGGGACGGAGUCUUCAAUCUUGUAUCUUUAUAGUCCAACAGUCCGGCUGUCCGGAGACCCCCUAAUCCAGGACUCCCUCACCCCCACUCCCUAUCGAACCCUAGCCCAAUCGCCCCACCUCCCCCACACCCCCUCGCCAGCCUCCCCACCUCUUGAUCCCAUCUGGAUCGGGGAGGGGAUCACCCCCAUCGACCCCGUCGCCGUCGCCGGAUCGCCCGUCAGCGUCGCCAGGCCUCCUCCCCGCCGCCCGUCUCCGGCUCGCCUCCCCUCUCGCUCCUCUUUCCCGACCCGAUCAGGAUCGUGAACGAGCAAUGAGCGCGACGCCCCCCCUUCAUCGGCGCCAUCACCGUGCGCCACCACCACCGCCUGAAGACCUCGCCGUCGCUGACCUUGUGUCGUCUCCUGGUAUCCCUUCCCGACUCGCGUCCUCAAGCCAGGCCGACCCCCUUCUCGGCAAUGCUGUGAGACGCCCCCCGUUUCCCUCCUCUUUCCACCGUGUUCACCGCGCCGCCUGACGAAGCUACGUACCUAGGGUAGGGGCAUGGACCUGUCCUAAGAGCCCUACCCAAGGACAUCCCUGGAAGAAGUCACCUUUCAAUCGACUUGAAGGUACCCACUCGACGGGUUUAAGACACUCGACCAAGAAGCUACCACUCGACAUGAAGCCAAUCACUCGACUGCCAGGAGAUCUAAAGUCAUUCCACGGGCAAACGGUCGGCUAUUAAGUAGUCUUUAUGGUCAUUAUAGCACUUUAUUACCAGCAUUACCAGUAACGCCCCGCCUUAAUGUACAUUGAACCCUUGGUAACGUAGGCUGGCCGGGGUCCUGGCGCGCUCUAUAUAAGUCACCCCCUCCUCCGAGACAAGGGUUCGCACCUCUAUUGUUCACAUGCCUAUAAUCCAAUCGACCGCCUCCGGGCACUGAGACGUAGGGCUGUUACUUCCUCCGCGAAGGGCCUGAACUCGUACACCUUGGUGUGUUUACAACUUCCCAAUAGCUGAGAUCUAGCCUCUCCAUACACACCCCCCUACAUCACUGUCAGAGUUAGAACCACAAUAGUUGGCGCCCACCGCGGGGCCAGAAUCUUAGCGCUUACUUGGAGAAGUUGCGAUUCUUCUGAUCCCUUUGAUCAUGGUUUCAUGCGGAGUUUUGGUGGAGGGGCGCGAGAUCCGUCUCGGCGCGCUCACAUUCAUCGCCGACGACUCCGCUUGGUUUCAGGAGGCUCCACUCGACAUCGACGUGCUCCCCGUCCGUGGUGCGACGCACUUCCGCGCAUGCGUUCGUGGCGUCCUCCUGCGGCAGCCGUCGACCCAGUAUCGGUCGGCCCUCGUGUCGUCUCCCCGCUCUGUCUCCCUCCGACGCAAGCGCUUUGGUAGGUCGAGACUUUAGAGGUGGGUGAGGCAUGCCGUGGCUCGCCAGUCGGCCGCCCCACAAGUCGCGGCAAUCGAGCCCGACAAAUCCCUCUGCAGCCUGUUCGACUGGCUCCGCGGAGACUUCAUCCGAGUGUGACAGCAGAGACCCAGCGGCUGAGGUUCUGGCGGUCGAUGGGACACACUGUCCUCCCGGUUUCCCUCGCGCUAAUGGAGGCGCGGGUGGGGGCGACCCGUCGCAUCCCCACGAUGAGUAUCUCCCCGAAUGUCUCACGGCAUCGCAGCGAGAGGAACUUCACCGCCGGAACAUAGACGCACUCCACACUCCUAUCGUCGGAGAAACCCCCGAGGCCCGGGCCUUGGAGGACGCGCGCUUGGCUAACUUGGCUGAGCGCACUCGACUGGAGAAUCUCCAGCUAAUACUCGAUGAGCAAGCGCGCCAGUGAGCUCCCGAGUCCAGUCGACGUCAGCUCUUUCCGCCGAUGCAGGUAUAUUGAACCCUAGUUCAGAAUUUGGCCGCCGCGGCCCGUAUAGCAGAGUCAAUUCAGCCCUCCCAGUCAGAGGCUGGCAGGGGCUUGUUGCAGAUCAGAGCAUUGCUCCGGGCGGCGGGGAACCAGAAUUCCGCUGUUUCUCAGUCGCAGAAUAGGAUCCACAGUCGAUCCGUUGCAACAGAUACAGUCCAGUCGGCUCACAGCCCGAGAUCGCCCCCGAGGCGUGAGGGACAUGGAGACCGGCACGAUCAGUACAGAAGAAAUGAGCAGUAUGAUCACCGAUUCGAUCGUGAGGAUCGACGUCGAGUGCCAACCCCUCCCCCGAGGAGUGGGUCAUAUGCGCCUCGAUAGCGAGAUGACAGGCGCCCUCAUAGUGUUGGGCAGAGGAUUCCAGUCGACCCCAGGGACCCAGGCUUUGAUGCGAGAUCCAUCCUUGAUCAAGGUCUGGUUGACAGGAACGGGGCUCACCGAGAAUGCCAGGACAGAGAUGCGCCUGCCAGCAGCAGAGUGCGUGUUUCAGGGACAGAGUGUUUCAGUCGAGCCAUCAGAGCCACAGUGAUUCCUCCCAACUUCAGGUUGGCGACUGGAGUCAGCUAGUUCACCGGUGAGUCUAAGCCUGACACUUGGCUCGAAGAUUACCGAGUGGCUGUACAGAUUGGCAGUGGCAAUGAUGAGGUGGACAUGAAGCAUUUGCCUCUCAUGUUAGAGGGCUCAGCCAGAGCAUGGCUAAAUCAGUUAGUGCCCAGCAGCAUUUACACUUGGGAGGACCUCUCCCGAGUGUUUGUCACAACCUUUGAGGGAACAUGCAAGCGACCUGCAGGCCUUACAGAGUUGCGGUCUUGCACGCAGAAACCGAAUGAAACGCUGAGGGAUUACAUCCAGAGGUGGAUCACAUUGCAUCACACAGUUGAGAAUGUUCCAGAUCAUCAAGCAGUUUGUGCCUUCAAAGAAGGCGUUAAGUACAGAGAAUUGAAUCUGAAGUUCGGUCGAACUGGAGAGAUGUCUCUGAAUCGGAUGAUGGAGAUUGCCACCAAAUACGCUAAUGGUGAAGACGAAGAUCGCCUCCGGAGUGGCAAGCGCAAGGCAGUCGCCCAAGAAACCGGAGGAAACUCCAGUCAGAAACAGAAGCGGAAGGCUGAGCCAGCCGCCCCUGGGGAGGCCCUGGCCGUAACCCAGGGAAAUUUCAAGGGAAAACCCAAGGGCCCCUGGAAGCCCAAGAAAGUCAAGGAUCAAGAUGGAAAUGAUGUUUUGGAUCUGCCAUGUCACUCCACACCAAGAAAGAUGAAGAGGGUAAUUUUAUUUACCCAAAGCAUACCACUCGACAGUGCCAGCUCCUGAUCCAGCAGUUUCAGGGCAAGCAACCCAAAGAUAAGGAAAAAGAGCCAGACAGAGUUGAGGACAAGGAUGAUAGUGACGAUGGAUACCCCCAAGUCAAUUCCACCCUGAUGAUUUUUGCUGAUGUCGAAAGCAAAAGUCGACUGAAAGUCAUUAAUCGUGAAGUGAAUAUGGUUGCUCCGGCAACACCUAGUUAUCUGAAGUGGUCUCAGGCUGCCAUAACAUUCGACCAGUCUGAUCACCCUACGCACAUUGCCACCCCUGGGAGGCAAGCUUUGGUGGUCGACCCAGUUGUCGAAGGCACUCGACUGACCAAAGUCCUGAUGGAUGGUGGCAGUGGCCUGAACAUACUGUAUGCUAAAACAUUGAAAGGGAUGGGCAUUCCGAUGUCCGGGCUCAGUACCAGCAACAUGAGCUUCCACGGAGUCAUUCCCGGGAAGUAAGCCGAAUCACUCGGCCAGAUUGCUCUUGAUGUGGUUUUCGGUGAUUCAAAGACUUACCGCAAGGAAAAGUUGACAUUCGAGGUUGUGGACUUCCAAAGUGCUUAUCAUGCCAUUUUGGGCAGACCAGCUUAUGCACGCUUCAUGGCCUGACCAUGUUAUGUGUAUCUCAAAUUGAAGAUGCCUGGUCCUAAAGGUGUGAUCACUGUUACAGGCAAUCGGAAGAAGGCAGAAGAGUGUUUUCAGAAAGGCUCAAAGAUUGCUGACGCUCAGAUGGCAGUGGUUGAGCUGCAAGAGUAUCAGAAGACUGCAGAUCCGAGUGAGUUGCUACGAGCUAAGAAGCCCACUUCGGAGUCAGCUUUUCAGUAGUCUGGUGAAAUGAAGGCAGUUCACAUUCACCCGACCAACCCCGAGGCUGCCCCGACUCACAUCUCAAAGACGCUCGACUCCAAAUAGGAAGAAGUGCUCAUCCAGUUCCUCCGUGAGAACUGGGACAUCUUCGCAUGGAAGCCUUCUGACAUGCCUGGAAUAACCAGGGGGCUGGCUGAGCACCGUCUACGAGUCGACCCAAAGUUCAAGCCUAUGAAAGAACAUCUUCGACGGUCCGCCGUCCAAAAGAGGAAAGCUAUUGGCGAGGAGGUGGCUCGGCUCUUAGCAGCAGAGUUCAUCCGAGAGAUGUACCACUCUGAGUGGCUCGCCAAUGUUGUCAUGGUCCCCAAGAAGGACAAGUCGCUUCGCAUAUGCAUCGACUUUAAACAUAUCAAUCGGGCCUGCCCGAAAGAUCAUUUUCCUCUCCCUCGCAUCGACCAAAUAGUCGACUUGACCGCGGGGUGUGAGCGAUUGUCUUUUCUAGACGGCUAUUCCGGGUACCAUCAGAUCCGUCUGUAUGGACCCGAUGAGAUCAAAACAGCUUUCAUCACUCCAUUCGGGUGCUUCCGUUAUGUCACCAUGCCCUUCGGCCUCAAGAACGCUGGAGCCACGUUCAUGAGGAUGAUUCAGAAGUGUUUGCUCACUCAAAUCAGUCGGAACGUGGAAGCAUACAUGGAUGAUAUUGUGGUCAAGUCGCGGAAAGGUUCCGACCUGCUGACUGACCUUGCUGCAACCUUUGCCAACCUUAGGAGGUAUGAUAUCAAGCUUAAUCCAUCAAACUGCACAUUCGGAGUUCCGGGUGGAAAGUUACUCGGUUUUCUCGUUUCCGAAUGAGGAAUCAACGCCAAUCCCGAGAAAGUUGGCACCAUACUCCGGAUGAAGCGCCCUGUGCGUGUGCACGAUGUCCAGAAGCUUAUGGGUUGCUUGGCCGCUCUAAGUCGAUUCAUUUCUCGUCUCAGUGAAAAGGCAUUGCCUCUUUACCGACUGAUGAAGAAGUCUGACAAGUUCGAGUGGACUCCAGAAGCUGAUGCAGCGUUUGCAGACCUCAAAGCUCUGCUCUCCACCCAGCCGGUGCUUGCUGCCCCAAUCAGUAAAGAGCCUUUGCUGCUUUACAUUGCAGCCACAGGACAAGUUGUCAGUACAGUACUUAUGGUCGAGCGGGAAGAUGAAGGAUAGGCCUUCAGAGUUCAACGCCCAGUAUAUUAUGUGUCUGAAGUUUUGACACCUUCAAAACAAAGAUAUCCUCAUUAUCAGAAGCUUGUAUACGGGAUUUAUAUGACCACGAAGAAGGUUGCACAUUACUUCUCUGACCACUCCAUUACAGUCGUCAGCGACGCCCCACUGUCAGAGAUUCUGCAUAACAGAGAUGCAACUGGUCGAGUGGCGAAGUGGGCGAUUGAACUCCUUCCCCUAGAUAUCAAGUUUGAAGCAAAUAAGGCUAUCAAGUCCCAAGCAAUUGCAGAUUUCAUCACCGAGUGGAUCGAACAGCAGCUUCCGACUCAAGUUCACCCGGAGCACUGGACCAUGUUCUUCGAUGGAUCUAAGAUGCUGAAUGGUUCCGGUGCUGGGGUAGUAUUGGUCUCCCCCCGAGGAGAUAAGCUCAGAUAUGUUCUCCAGAUUCACUUUGAUUCCUCCAAUAAUGAAGCAGAAUAUGAAGCACUUUUGUAUGGGUUGCGCAUGGCCAUUUCACUUGGCGUCCGUCGCCUCAUGGUCUAUGGCGACUCAGAUUUGGUGGUUAAUCAGGCGAUGAAGGAGUGAGACGUCAGAAGUCCGGCAAUGACUGGUUAUUGCAAUGUAGUGAGAAAGCUAGAAAAGAAAUUCGAGGGGUUAGAGCUUCAUCACAUCCCCCGACUGAAAAAUCAGGUAGCUGACGAUUUGGCAAAGAUAGGCCCCAAGAGAGAAGCCAUUCCCAGCAACGUGUUCCUGGAACACAUUCAUUCGCCAUCAGUCCAAGAAGAUCCUUUUACAGAAGAAGCCCCGCAGCCGAAAAGUGCCACAGAUCCGACUGAAGUCGAAGUCCCUGCUGUGGUCGACCUAAUCAUGGAAGUCUUCGCAAUCACUCCCGACUGGACGAUACCGUACAUCGCGUAUAUCCUAAGGAAAGAACUCCCGGAGGACGAGGAAGAGGCUCGACAGAUCGUCCGCCGAUCCAAAGCCUUCACAGUCACAAGGGGACAGUUGUAUAGAGAAAGCGCGACUGGGAUCGGUCAGAAGUGCAUAACACUAGAAGAGGUUCAGAUAAUCCUUGACGACAUCCACUCGCGGACCUGUGGUCACCAUGCGUCUUCUCGGACCAUUGUGGCUAAAGCAUACCGAGCGGGAUUUUACUGGCCAAGAGCAAAUGAGAUGGCAAAAGAGAUAGUCGACCAGUGUGGAGGGUGCUAGUUCUACUCCAACAUGUCACACAAGCCUGCGUCAGCCCUGAAGACCAUUCCACUCGUCUGGCCCUUUGCUGUCUGGGGACUGGACAUGGUUGGUCCACUAAGAACAGGCAGGAGCGGUUUCACUCAUGUGCUUGUGGUAGUCGACAAGUUUACCAAAUGGAUUGAGGCUAAGCGCAUCAAGAAUCUUGAUGCUUGCACUACUAUCAGUUUCGUCAGAGGGCUAACAUUCAGAUAUGGAGUCCCGCAUAGCAUCAUCACUGACAAUGGGUCAAACUUUGAUUCGGACAAGUUCAGAGCUUUUUGCGCCUCUCAAGGCACACGAGUCGACUACGCAUCGGUCGCCCAUCCCCAGUCGAAUGGACAAGCAGAGAGAGCAAAUGGUUUGAUUCUCAAAGGACUAAAGCCUCGACUGAUGCGCGAUCUCAAGCACGCGGCAGGUGCUUAGGUCGACGAGCUUCCGUCAGUUCUGUGGGGAUUGAGGACCACCCCGAACCGGUCGACUGGAGGAACUCCAUUCUUUCUGGUUUAUGGAGCCGAGGCAGUUCUGCCGAGUGAUCUUCUUCACAACGCACCCCGAGUCGAACUUUAUACCGAAGAUGAAGCAGAACAAGCCCGGCAAGACGCAGUCGACCUACUAGAAGAAGAGAGGGAGAUGGCCAUGAUCAGAUCGACCAUUUAUCAGCAAGACUUGCGUCGAUUCCACGCUAGGAAUGUGAAGAGUCGAGCCUUCCAAGAAGGAGAUUUGGUCCUCCUAGUGGAUCAACAGAAACCACACAAGCUUGCUCCUACUUGGGAAGGCCCCUUCAUCGUCACCAGAGUCCUCCACAAUGGAGCGUAUCACCUCUACAAUGUUGAUCGCCAGAUCGAUGAGCCGCGAGCUUGGAAUGCGGAACUGCUCCGCCCCUUUUACACUUGAGUUCUCCCUUGGACGAGAUGUAAUAAGAAAAAAUUUCUGCAGUUCAUUUUUAUCAAAGGCAAGAGUGUUCCAAUAAUUGCUGUCACUUUUGUUUGCAUACGAAAUCCCCCAGUGGGUGACUUAGCUGCGAAUCCGUUUCGCCUAAGUUUGAAAAAUCCUACCGAGUGGAGAGCCAGAUUCCCACUCGGGGGCUUAGCUCCAGCCCAGUGCUUGCCUAAGUGUUCAAAAAUCCUACCAAGUGAGAGCAAUCCUCCCACUUGGGGGCUUAGCUGCAGUCCAGUACUCGCCUAAGUUCUCCCACUUAGAGACUUAGCUGCAGUCAGGCACUCGCCUAAGUUUGAAAAAAUCCUACCGAGUGGAGAGCAAUCCUCCCACUCGAGGGCUUAGCUGCAGUCCAGUACUCGCCUAAGUUCUCCCACUUAGAGACUUAGCUACAGUCAGGCACUCGCCUAAGUUUGAAAAAAUCCUACCGAGUGGAGAGCAACCCUCCGACUCGGGGGCUUAGCUGCAGUCCAGUACUCACCAAAGUUCUCCCACUUAGAGACUUAGCUANNNNNNNNNNNNNNNNNNNNNNNNNNNNNNNNNNNNNNNNNNNNNNNNNNNNNNNNNNNNNNNNNNNNNNNNNNNNNNNNNNNNNNNNNNNNNNNNNNNNNNNNNNNNNNNNNNNNNNNNNNNNNNNNNNNNNNNNNNNNNNNNNNNNNNNNNNNNNNNNNNNNNNNNNNNNNNNNNNNNNNNNNNNNNNNNNNNNNNNNNNNNNNNNNNNNNCUCUCCUUCCGAGCUACGCCACAAGUACAACAUGCGCUCUGCAAGGAGGACGAGGUGCAGGUCGACUGCUACCCUCUCCUUCCGAGCUACGCCACCAAUUCAAAAUCCUACUGAGUGGAGAGCAAACCUCCCACUCGGGGGCUUAGCUGCAGCCCAGUGCUCGCCUAAGUAUUUGAAAUCCUACCGAGUGGAGAGCAAACCUCCCACUCAGGGGCUUAGCUGCAGCNNNNNNNNNNNNNNNNNNNNNNNNNNNNNNNNNNNNNNNNNNNNNNNNNNNNNNNNNNNNNNNNNNNNNNNNNNNNNNNNAAAUCCUACCGAGUGGAGAGCAAACCUCCCACUCGGGGGCUUAGCUACAGCCCAGUGCUCGCCUAAGUAUUUAAAAAUCCUACCGAGUGGAGAGGAAACCUCCCACUCGGGGGCUUAGCUGCAGCCCAGUGCUCGCCUAUGUGUUUAGAAAUCCUACCGAGUGGAGAGCAAACCUCCCACUCGGGGGCUUAGCUGCAGCCCAGUGCUCGCCUAAGUGUUUAGAAAUCCUACCGAGUGGAGAGCAAACCUCCCACUCGGGGGCUUAGCUGCAGCCCAGUGCUCGCCUAAGUGUUUAGAAAUCCUACCGAGUGGAGAGCAAACCUCCCACUCGGGGGCUUAGCUGCAGCCCAGUGGUCGCCUAAGUGUUUAAAAAUCCUACCGAGUGGAGAGCCAGACUCCCACUCGGGGGCUUAGCUGCAGCCUAGCGCUCGCCUAAGUGUUUAAAAAUCCUACCGAGUGAGAGCAAACCCCUCACUCGGAGGGCUUAGCUGCAGCCCGGUGCUCACCUAAGUACAGGACACAACCCAAUCCGCAAGAAGUUACGCCACAAAUACAAGGUUAUUCCGAGUGAAGAUCAAGUUGCACUCGACAGAUCAAACCAUGAAGAUAUCCAACGAGAAAUCAAGUUCGGAUAAAGCCUAAAGGUCCCAGACCUCAGAUCAAAGUACUCGAGCCCUCGGCUCGGCAGAGUUUAACGGUUACAAAUCCACUCAGCAUUCCGAGGCAAAUUUAAAGUGAAGCACGACGAACUCGUCCAAGUCGAUCCCGUCUGCAAUACGAGUGGCAGCAGCGAUGAAAGUCUCCAUGAAGUCUUGAAAGCUGUGCUUCCUGGUAUUGGCAACUUGGAUGGCGGCCGGCUUUUCUUCUCGCGCCUCCUUGCAAUGGACGCGGACCAGAGACAGAGCGACAUCAGCACCACAUCUAGCAGAAGAUUUCUUCCAUUCCGCCACUCAACCCGGGACUUCAUUCUGUCGAGCCAUCAGAGACUCGAGGUCGUUCUGAAGCAUCAUCCCAGGCCAGAGUGAUGUGUCAAUCCGCGACAUCGCAACCUUCAGUCGAGCAAGAUAGUCAACAACACUGGUAACACGAGACUCCAGUCGGAGCACGUUCAUAGCAGCUUCAUCCUUCACGAGAGAAUUGGCGGGGUCCAAGCCUGGCUCCACUCGACUGGUUUCCUCUUCGAAGUUCUGGCAGAAUUCUGCAAACACGAUUCAAGAGUCAGACAUUGGCUCUACACAGGCUUGGCAACUGCAAGACAGUCGGGGCAGAGUAAUUACCUUCGAGCAUGACGAACAGCUUCUUGGUGAGUCCACCGAGAUAAGCCUCCAGAUCAUUUACCUUCCCCGCCAGCUUACCCGCCUGGUCGUGUAGAACCAUCUUUUCAUUCUUCAGUCGGCUGACCUCUUGAUUAGCUGUCUCGAGAGCAGUUUUCAGCCUCGAGUUCUCCUGUUCAAGAGUUCCGACCGAAGCCAUUUUCUCUUCUCCAAGCUUCGUUCUGCUCAAGGCCUCCUUCUGUGAUUCUGCAAGAUCUUGAUCCUUCUUCUUCAGAGCUUCUUCCAGUUUAUCUGCGGCACGUCGAGUGAAAUCAACAUCAAGAAUGGACAAGCAAGAAAAAUCACUCGUCAAGAAUGGAGAACCUCACCAGCCAUACCUUUUGCUUCUUCUUGCGCCUUCCUCAAAUUCUCUUGAGCAAGCUUCAAGUUAAGGUUGAGCUGGAUCUGCUUAUUCUCCAACUCAGUAUAGCGAGCUACAAGUUCACAGGAUUUCUGCAAAAAGAAAAAUCAGUGGACAGACGUCCAAGAUAAGUUGCUUCCCAAUAACUAAAAGACAACGAUGGCGUUUCUAAGACUAUAGCCGAAUCUAAAACAUUCGACAGUAGUCUCGGGGACUACACCCAGUGGGUGCACUCUGCGUGCCCCCAUUGUAAAAAAAGUCGACUGCCCGCAGUCGACCGGAUACAGUUCCAUUCGACAUGGCCUGACCAGACCGAAUGAAGAAAUACAGCUACAACAACACAAUAUAAAGACUACAGUCGACUGCCAGCAGUCCACCAUAGUCUCGGGGACUACACCCAGUGGGUGCACUUAGCGUUCCCCCACUCGUCCAAGAAUUGGCAGACACACCCAGUGGGUGUACAGAUAUAAAGAUCUUCAAAAAAAAAGAUUCUUCAAACAGCAUAUCGUAACAGACCAAGUGUUGAGUCGACUGACCUGGACGUUACUCUGAAGAGCCGAACUCGCGUCAUAAGCCGCUUGGCUGGCCUCCCAAGCCGCUUUCACUUGUUCCAUCAUAAUCCCCGCCUGGCGUAUGGCCUCUUUUGCAGCAGCUGCUUGGUCCUCAGGGACGGGGUACGUGGCAAAAAGCGAAGGCGGAUCCGCAGUCGACGUCAAGGGCCGCACCCUCGUCAGAGGAAUGGCGAAAGUCACAGAAGCCCGAGUGGUUUCACCACCGUCUCGGGCUACGGCCUCAGGCGCCGGAGUGGAUUGUGGGGUCUCGCCAGCCGACGCUCCCCUGUUCCUUCUCACUCUCAGCGGCACGUCAUCGUCGUCAUCCGGAAGGUUGAUAACAUGAUAAGGAGCUACAAGAAAAAAUUCAAUCGACCAGAGUUGCAAUAAGUGUCCAGUCGACUGAAGGCAGAACAUCAGUAAUCAUACCAGGGUGGAGGUAACAGCAUCCUCCAUCUCUUGGUCGUCGUCCUUGGCAGAGACCUCCGAAGUAGGAGCACUGCAAAUCUCGAAAGUCAGUCAGUUGGCUCAAUGAAUCGACCAAGGAUCUGUCCACGGUCGACAAAGGAAAACAAGUUUUGUUAUUACCCAGAAAUGGUGGGGACAGCCAUCUUCAUCUUGGGCAGAGCCUUGGGCGGCUUGGACGGCGUCGCGCGUGGGUGCUUGGGAGCCUUUCCAGUCAGCGUAGGAGAAGAGGUUCGAGGGCGUUUCGACAACUGCCCAACAGGAGCAGUCGCCUACCACGUUCCCGCGCUGGAUCAUGUGUGAGCUUGGAUCGCCUCUCCCGGUGGGGGGGGGGGGGGGGUCAACCUCCUCCUCCUCCUCUUCGCUGGAGUUGACGUCGUCGUCUCCCUCUCCUUCGCCAUCGGACUCCCACUCGCCUUGAUCGUCUCCACUCUCACAUCCGCUCGCCUCCCCUUCCUCAGUUGGCUCCUGUGCCCCGUUGGGUGUCGAGUACAUCUCAGUAGUCGCCUGGAAAACAACAGACAAGACAAAAGUUAGUCGACCAAUUCAAAGAAGACCAAUGAAGAAAACAAGAUUUCAAUCGGGAGCGUAAAGUCAGACCUGGUCCACUUCGUAUUGUUGUCGAGUGGAGAAACCCUCCUGGCGCCUCGGGGGUUGUCUUUGUUUCCUGUGAUGCUCGUCAGCCACCCCUCCAACAUCUCAUCAGUGACCUCCUCCGGGUGGAUCCGAGUGGUGUCUUCGAGGCCCGAGUACAGCCACAUCGGGUGGCCGCGAGCCUGGAGCGGUUGGAUGCGCCUCCGAAGAAAGACCUCCAGCAAGUCCAUGCCAGUCACGCCAUCACGGACGAGCUGAACCACUCGACCAACCAGCACUUUGAAUUGGGUCUUUUCUUCUGGCGUCACUUUCAGAGAAGCAGGUUUUUGAGCUCGGUCGAGAGAGAAAUGGGGAAGCCCGGUCGACUGUCCUGGGGUCACCUGGUCUUUGCAGUAAAACCAGGUCGCCUGCCAACCACGGACCGACUCUGGGAAAAUGAUAGAUGGAAAACAACUCUUUCCCCUCGUCUGGAUCGCGAGGCCCCCGCACAGCUGGAUCACUUGCGUCCUUUCCUCACUCGACUUGGCCUUCUUGACCGAUUGGGAGCGGCAAGUAAAGAUGUGCUUAAAGAGCCCCCAAUGGGGGCGGCAACCCAGGAAACCCUCACACAAGGAAAUGAAGGUAGCAAGGUACACGAUAGAGUUGGGAGUGAAGUGGUGGAGCUGCGCUCCGAAGAAAUUUAGAAAACUCCGGAAAAAAGGAUGAGGAGGCAGAGAAAACCCUCGAUCGAUGUGGGUGGUGAGAAGGACACACUCACCAUCACGGGGUUGAGGCUCGACUUCUCCCCCCUGGAGACGCGCAGCCUCGUAAGGAAUGACUCCCCCCUCAACCAUAUCGUCGAGGUCUUCCUGCCGAAUCACCGACGGCAUCCAAUCGCCCUGGAUCCAGCCUCUGGGCAGAGCAGUCCUUGAGGAAGAUCCGCCCCAAGCGGACUUCUUCCCUUUCCCCUGCACCGACGCCUUCUUCGCGCGCUCCAGAGCAGACGUCUUGCCCUUCACCAUCGUCGCCGGCGAAUCUCAAACGGGUCUGCGGCGCUAGGGUGAGAGCGGAGGUGGCGGAGGACUUCGCGAAGGGAGAAAGAAGAGAAAGAAGAGAAAGGAGAGAGCACUGUUCGGGAACCCGAGCAGGCGGCUUAUAAGAGGCCGCUCCUGAGUGGCUGACUGGUAGGCCCAGGCUAUCCCGUCAAAUCCCGCAGUAGACGCGCGCGCAGCUCGUGGCGGAAAAGGUGGCACGGGAAUCGAGGAGCUUCUGCCUUAUCACAUCCGAUUACUGCGGCCGCGCCCGUCCCGCUCGCUCCCCGAUGUUCAAAUCCCGCGAAAUCCGCGGGCUGCGGAACAACUCAUCAAAUAGAAGAUCCCUCUCGUGCCGGCACUCGGUAUUUCACAAGUAAGGAAAUUCACUCGACGGGAGACCAAGAAUGGAUCAAGGCGACCGAAAGAAGUUGACAACGUCAUCCUUGGCGAUAGAUCUAGUACAAGACGUCCAUAUGACGCUAAAAACCAGUCGGAAGGACCCCCAACUCCUUCCCCACUCGAACCUCGAUCCAUUCGGGGGCUAAUGACGAAGCUACGUACCUAGGGUAGGGGGAUGGACCUGUCCUAAGAGCCCUACCCAAGGACAUCCCUGGAAGAAGUCACCUUUCAAUCGACUUGAAGGUACCCACUCGACGGGUUUAAGACACUCGACCAAGAAGCUACCACUCGACACGAAGCCAAUCACUCGACUGCCAGGAGAUCUAAAGUCAUUCCACGGGCAAACGGUCGGCUAUUAAGUAGUCUUUAUGGUCAUUAUAGCACUUUAUUACCAGCGUUACCAGUAACGCCCCGCCUUAAUGUACAUUGAACCCUUGGUAACGUAGGCUGGCCGGGGUCCUGGCGCGCUCUAUAUAAGCCACCCCCUCCUCCGAGACAAGGGUUCGCACCUCUGUUAUUCACACGCCUAUAAUCCAAUCGACCGCCUCCGGGCACCGAGACGUAGGGCUGUUACUUCCUCCGCGAAGGGCCUGAACUCGUACACCUUGUUGUGUUUACAACUUCCCAAUAGCUGAGAUCUAGCCUCUCCAUACACACCCCCAACAUCACUGUCAGAGUUAGAACCACGACACCGCCUGCCGUGCCCCUCGCCGCACGCCCACCACCGCGCCAGCCCCCACUCUGUGGACGACCCUAGCCGCGCCCGCGCCGUGAUCCCCUUUUCCGCCCUACCUUCCCGCACUCGCCGCGGUCCCGAUGCUCCCCCGCGCCCUCUUUCAGGGGCGCCGACUGCCCCUGUCCCAUUACUCGCCGCCGCGCCUCGCCACCGCUCUACUGCUACGUUACUACUGCGCUGCGGCCGCCGCCUCUUCCCGCUGCUCCGCUAGCGCCGAAGCUCCCGGCUGGCUCUGCCACUGGUCACGUUUAACUACCGGUCUAAAUGGCCUAACCUCCCGGCAAAUGAACCCCCAGUAACCCACUGACACCGGGAGCCACAUCCCCUAAUUAACCAUUAAUAAAUUAAAACUCUUAAAUUAACAUUAGUGUAUGACAUGUGCGUCCCCUGUUAAUUAAUAAUUUACAUUAGUGUAUGACAUGUGCGUACCCUGUUAAAUAAACUGAUUUAAUUAAAAUCUAUUAACUUCGAGUCUAUGACAUAUCACUACUUGGGAAAAUCCUAGCAGUAGCGUGGGUAUUUUUCCUAUCAGUUGCGCCGGAUACCGCUCUACUGAUAAGGCACUACAGCUAACAUGUAGCAGUAAUGCGUGUCAUCCAACGCUACUGCUGUACAUGGCUAGCAGUAGCGAGCUUUAGUGCAAAGCGCUGCUGCUAAUAUCUGCAGCGCUUUUCAGCAUGAAGUGAUACUGGUAAGGGACCUCUACUACUAACUUUAUUCCCCUCGCUACUGCUAGUUUUAUUAGUUUCUGUUUUUUUCUGCAUAUUUCUUUUGUAUUUGAACAGGCUUUAUACAAUAAUAUUUAGCGUAUCAUACACAUACAAAUGUAAUCAUAGCAUAUACAUACAAAUAGUCUCGUCAAAUCAUGUCAUCAUCAUAAUCAUCAUCCAUCACAAAGUGGUCUCUCGUCAUCAUCUCUAAAAUAGCGAUACAAGUCUCGAUUACUUGCAACUACAUUGUCAUCCGUCUAAACAAUGAUAUACGCGAGAAGAGCUAUCACUAUGAGUGAGAGCGGAACUAUGCAGUACAUGAGUUUGUAUCCCUCUCUCGCAUUAGCGUGAACCUAAACUAACUACUAGUUGUCGCUCGGAAACCAGAAACCGGUACACCUGGGCCUGACACUCCGUCCACUCAUCUUAUACUCCUGGCGUAGCACUUCUGUGCCAUCGAUGAUCUAUGCACCUGCAUCGUCACAUGAGUCGAUGAUAUGCAACAUAUAUAGUUGAGCAAUAGAAACAGACAGACUUGGCAAAAAUAGAAGCAACAUAUCAUAAGCAUAAAUAACAAAGUUCAUCAUACCCAAAAUGCCCUAACUAGAGUGAUCUUCGCUAGUCGAGGAGGACGGUUUAAUUACAUCACAAAUAAUGUUUCAUCUUGCAUAACUCAAAGUGCCAUCAUACAGAAAGUAUGAACUAAACGGACACAUUGUCAUAUGUCGACAAUCACUCCAACAUGUCGUGCCAUCGAUCCAAGUCAAGGAGAUAGUCCCCGAGCUUAGUGAAAGGCUUCAGGUUGAGACGCUGAGCGGCAACGCGUGUUCGGACGUCUUCCCUCGACAUUUUUCCUUCUUCAUAGAACAUCCCUGUUUUUUCGAUGACCUCCCUCAUGAUGAUUUGGGCAAGUUCGCACUGGAAGUGAUAGAACUCAUCUUGAAGUCGAUGAUCCUCGAUAUCUCCUAAGUUCUUUGCCCAUUGCAGAAUAUGGGCAUCGCCGAAUCUAGGUGUCAUGCAAAGGUUCUGGUGAUCCCGUAUGUACUCCAUCAUGUGGUGUAGGACAUAGAAUCCAUCAUUAAGAGAAUCACUCAGUUGCUGGAUACAGCAGAAGCCGGUCUUAUGGCCGAAGGCGGGCCUGCCGUCCCUUUUCUUCUUGUCCUUGACCUCUCCACCCCGUGCACCGUAGUAAAACAUAGCACCGUCGAGAACAUACUUGAUGUGGGUGUAAUCCUUUUUUUUAAUGUUCUUCGAUGAGUCCAAGUAAAGAGCGUGGGAGUAUCGGGGGUAGAGGAUGAUGAGGAUGGUGCACCCGCCGCUGCGCAAAAUAAGUACACCUCAAAUUAAUUAGCCUCCACCGUGCAAAUGAAUGAUUGAAAUCGUAGGAAGGAUAUCCGCGUGGAUGACUUACAGGGGAUGAUAAGGCACAAGAAUCACCUCCUUGUCCUUAUUGGCACGCAUGAAAUUGACGAUGUAUUCCUCGCGUAUUCACGGUGCUUUGCGUGGACUCACAAGAAGACCUCGUGCAUGAAGUACCGAUCAGUGACACAGAUAUGAGGUAUUUGCUCAACCCCGAUGAGGUAGUUCAUGUGCAAGGCAUAAAGGUGGACGAAUGUAAAAUCCAGCUUCUUUAAGUGAAACAUGUCGAAGAUGUAAUCCAAUCGAAGGAAGAACUUGUUCGAGGGGAAUGUGUCGAUGUACGACAAUUGCAGCGACACGUUAACCACGGAGAGUGGGUAUGCUGGAUUUUUUGAGGCAAUGAGGCCUUUCUCUAUCAGCAACACAUCAUCAUGAAGUCUCCUUAUAUCGCCAAAUCAGGCCCCUAGCGCUGCUUUAGGUAGGAUUGGUUAACCGGGGAUACGCCAUAUUGCCGCACCGAGGAUAUCUAUACGGUCUUGAACCCGAGCCUGCUGAGGUGGCUGGAUCAUAGAAGCACCUUUGUUUCCUUUCCUCGGUGUCUUCCUUGGCUUCUUUGCUACCGGAAAGUCGUCUAUAAUAUGUUCAGCCUCUGGAGGCGGCAAUUCAGGCACCAACUCAUGCGCUCAAACCCUGAGUAGGCGCCAGUAUUGAGGUAUUGUUGAAUGUCAUCGUCGUCCUCAUCUAUGGCGAUGUCACUAGCGACAAAUCGAGCCUCUUCCUCACCCCGUCCGCUAUCACCCAGCACGACAGCCGACGCUAAUUGGGUAGGUGGGGUGUUGAUGUUCGUACCUAACUGCGUGCUCGUGUGUGUGCUCCCGGCCGCCUCCAGACAAAGCAGACUCUUUGACCACAACAGGACCCACCCAUUGCAACCACCAAGCCGCUGCGGGGUCUCGUCGUCAUCCCCUAGUAUCGGAGGAGCCAAAUUCUCGUGGCCCGGUUUGACACUGGCCACGAAAACUUUGAAGACAUACGGGGGGAUUGGUCGGCCAUGGAACAAUGGUUCCUUCGGCUUCAUUACCGUCACCUUCCCCACGUCCACCUUUUGGUCGCCGAUGUUGUACAAUAUGGUGCACGGGGUUACAUCGGCCUGCAAAGACACCGUGAGAUUAUACAUUUAUGGAAGAGGGCCGGUGUGACAGAUACCGUGAGGGCGUCGAGCUCAGCCAAAGACGAAGGACAGCUGAGCACGGCCGGUGUGGGAGCCGGUGUGGGAGCCGGUGCAGGUGCAGGUGCUGGUGCAUCGCUAGUCGUGCUACUCCCGAAGAAGUCAACAAUGGGAAAGUCCGCUGCAUUUUUUCUGGAUUUUGCAUGCUCCAAUUGAAAACGGCUGGAACCAAGACAAUAGACAUAUCUGCAACCACCUGUUUUGCGGCAGCUACCGUUAUCGUGACAGUCUCAGAUGAUUUCUUCUCUACUGCAAUCUCAACCUUCUUGUCGAUGUUUUCUUCAGUUAACCUCCAUCUUUCCUUUCUCUCCUCCGUGGUCUCACGGUAGCACUUCUUCCACGUGGCCCCGUCUCCGACACCGUGAACGCGUCCAUACGACGACCGAGUCUCCACUGGGAGUCCUUUCAAUAUGUUCAAUGCCCGGUUGAAUGGAGUGUCCCACUUGGGCCUCGCCAACGCCUCAGACGGCGAGUCUCUUUCGGUCGCAAUCUUGUGCUGCUCUCUCUACAAAAGGAACAAGGAUCAUUUACAAAUAUGACUAAACGUGCAGUCGAAUUGAUCAGAAACUAAAAUUACCAGCAGUCUCAUGAACUCCGUCGUGAUCGGGUCCGUCUUGAAAACCUUCUUGACCGAGUGCCAAUGGUGCCGUGCCCUGAGGACGUCAUGCUCCUACAGGACGGUGAAGUCCGCCAAGGGGUCUAGGAUGCCAGACUUUCGCGUUUCGUGUCCUCCUUGGCCCAUAUGGACCUCUUCCUGCUGUAACCACGGCUUCCGAGGUGGCGGUGCCCCAUGUUCCUUUGUUGAAACCCCUUCAUGUACUUUGACUUUGUUUUGGCAGUUUCAGCCUCGCAAGCCGCCUUGAAUAUUUCAAAGUGCUCUCCCGUGAUUGUCGGAUUAUCCUUUACAAUCUCGGAGUAGGGUUGAUACGUCUCCAAUGUAUCUAUUAUUUUUGAUUGCUCCAUGCUAUAUUAUCUACUGUUUUGGACAUUAUUGGGCUUUAUUAUCUACUUUUAUAUUAUAAUUUGGACUAACCUAUUAACCGGAGGCCCGAGCCCAGAAUUGCUGUUUUUUUGCCUGUCUUAGGGUUUCAAAGAAAAGGAAUAUCAAACGGAGUCCAAACGGAAUGAAACCUUCGGGAACGUGAUUUUCUCAACGAACAAGACCCAGGAGACUUUGACCCUACAUCAAGACACAAGGCGAAUCAUGUACGUAGCCACUAGUGAAACAUAUUAUCUUUAUUAUAUCUAUCAGAUCUCACUCUCGUAAGUGGCCGUGUUGGGAUUGACAACCCCUAUUCAUGUUGGUUGAGAGGAUUGAUUUGUUUUGUGCAAGUACAAAGGACUCGCGCGUAGCCUCCUAUUGGAUUAAUAGCUUGGUUCUCAAAAAGUGAGGGAAAUACUUACGCUACUUUGUUGCAUCAUCCCUUCCUCUUCGGGGAAAACCAACGCAGUGCUCAAGAGGUAGCAAGAAGGAUUUGCUGNNNNNNNNNNNNNNNNNNNNNNNNNNNNNNNNNNNNNNNNNNNNNNNNNNNNNNNNNNNNNNNNNNNNNNNNNNNNNNNNNNNNNNNNNNNNNNNNNNNNNNNNNNNNNNNNNNNNNNNNNNNNNNNNNNNNNNNNNNNNNNNNNNNNNNNNNNNNNNNNNNNNNNNNNNNNNNNNNNNNNNNNNNNNNNNNNNNNNNNNNNNNNNNNNNNNNNNNNNNNNNNNNNNNNNNNNNNNNNNNNNNNNNNNNNNNNNNNNNCCUCCACCCUCGUGGGCCCCCUGUUGCUCCACCGACGUACUCCUUCCUCCUAUAUAUACCUACGUACCCCCAAACGAUCAUAUACGGAGCCAAAACCCUAAUUCCACCGCCACAACUUUCUGUAUCCACGAGAUCCCAUCUUGGGGCCUGUUCCGGAGCUCCGCCGGAGGGGGCAUCAAUCACGGAGGGCUUCUACAUCAACACCAUAACCUCUCCGAUGAAGUGUGAGUAGUUCACCUCAAACCUACGGUUCCAUAGUUAUUAGCUAGAUGGCUUCUUCUCUCUUUUUGGAUCUAAAUACAAUGUUCUCCCCCUCUCUUGUGGAGAAUUAUUCGAUGUAAUCUUAUUUUUGCGGUGUGUUUAUUGAGACCGAUGAAUUGUGGGUUUAUGAUCAAGUCUCUCUAUGAAUAAUAUUUCAAUCUUCUCUGAAUUAUUUUAUGUAUGAUUGGUUAUCUUUGCAAGUCUCCUCGAAUUAUCAGUUUGGUUUGGCCCACUAGAUUGAUCUUUCUUGCAAUGGGAGAAGUGCUUAGCUUUGGGUUCAAUCUUGCGGUGUCCUUUCCCAGUGACAGUAGGGGCAGCAAGGCACGUAUUGUAUUGUUGCCAUCAUGGACAACAAAAUGGGGUUUUCAUCAUAUUGCAUCAGUCUAGCCCUCUACAUCAUGUUAUCUUGCUUAAGGCGUUAAUUUGUUUUUAACUUAAUACUCUAGAUGCAUGCUGGAUAGCGGUCGAUGAGUGGAGUAAUAGUAGUAGAUGCAGGCAAGAGCGGUCUACUUGUCUCGGACAUGAUGCCUAUAUACAUGAUGAUACCUAGAUAUUCUCAUAACUAUGCUCAAUUCUGUCAAUUGCUGAACAGUAAUUUGUUCACCCACCGUAGAAUACUUAUGCUCUCGAGGGAAGCCACUAGUGAAACCUAUGGCCCCGGGUCUAUCUUUAUCAUAUUAAUCUUCUACUACUUAGUUAUUUCCUUUGCUUUUUACUUUUCCUUUAUUUUACUUUGCAUCUUUAUCACCAAAAUACCAAUAAAAUUAUCUUUAUCAUAUCUAUCAAAUCUCACUCUGGUAAGUGGCCGUGUAGGGAUUGACAACCCCUAUUCGUGUUGGUUGCGAGGAUUUAUUUGUUUUGUGCAGGUACGAGGGACUCGCGCGUAGCCUCCUACUGGAUUGAUACCUUGGUUCUCAAAACCUGAGGGAAAUACUUACGCUACUUUGCUGCAUCAUCCCUUCCUGUUCGGGGAAAACCAACGCAGUGCUCAAGAGGUAGCAAGGGUUCCUUUUUGUCGACGAUCCGAUGUUUCAACCUUGUUUUCCAGGCGGCCAACGCGUCGCUAAACUUGGGCAUGGCGUGUUUGUUUAUCUUCUUCAUUGCCACGUCCUUAUCUGGAUCAUUAUUAUCCUUUUCAUUGCAGUCAGGGAACAAGAAUAUCUGGUGCAGCUUCUUUAGGAGGGAGGGCCUCAUAUUAUCUAUCUUCUGUAGUUUCCCAUCGUUGAUCGUGGCAGUUGUCCGUACGAUGCAACCUAUUUGAUUGCCGUAGCACGAUCGCGCUUCCUCGGGCGCUAUUGUCUCAAAAAUACCGUUGUCCAUCUCCGUGACCACCAGUCUAGUACUCAUGAGCUGGUUUGGGUGCCGUGGCCUCUUUGCUUUCGGUUCUAGACCAGCUCCGCUAGUCUCGGCGCCGGUCUCAGUCUCAUCACCGGUCUGCAUGUCGGUAUCAGUCCCCGAUGCGACAGCACAGUCGCUGCAACAUGGGUAAGGGAGACCACAUCAGUGCUGGGGUGGUCUGAAAAUUGGGACACACUUUCGCGCAUUGCGGGCCGCCUCUCAGACAGCUACUGGGGAGGCGGCGGAGUACCUGGGUGCGCGACGAAUCCCCGGGAACUCGGUGACCAACUUCCUUCCCAUGUAGCGCAUGGAGACGAUGGCGACCCCGCCGAAGAGCAGCUUAGUUGCGAGCUGCACAGCCUCGUCCACCUCCUAAGUUGGGACCUCCGCGCGAGCGUUGCGGGGCCGCCGCUCGGAUGGCUUCUGGAAGGCGCUUGUACAUGGGCACAGGGUGAAUCCCGGCAAGAGCUGGCCAUUGGUGCGCGCAAGUAGACGACGACGUCGCCGACGAAGAGCAGCCCGGCCAGCUCGCCUCACUCUCCUUUGAUUAGAAUUGAAAGAUUGGGAAGAAGCAGACUUGAGCCUGCAGGGAAAGGAUAAGGUGACGAUGCAGUCUCCACUCGUUCGGGGCGACACGCGUACUGAAUGUAUGAGAAACGCGACGUGGCAGGGACCCCAAGAUACUCCCUCCAUUUAUUUUUAGUCUGCAUAUAAAGUUUGGUCAAAGUCAAGAUUUGUAAAUUUUAACUAACUUUAUAAUAAAAAAAAUCAACAUUCACAAUAUGAAAUAAUUAUUACCAGAUGCGUCAUGAAAUGUAUUUCCAUACUAUAUAGGUUUGGUAAUGUAGAUGUUCAUAUUCUUUUAUAUAAAUGGGAAGUAGAGGCACUCUUCCAUAUAAUGAAGUUUAUAAUAUAUGUGCUUAUAUUAUACUAUAAUUGUUUGAAUAACUUAGCAUAUGUUCAGAUGUAUGAUAUCUGUAAUUUAAGCGCUUGAAUUUUACAUAUAAAUAUUUAUUAAUAAAUAUGUACCCCUAUAAUAGCUAGGCCGUGCAGUUGCACGGGUAGAUGACUAGUGAUUACAAUCUUGUUUGUGUGCAAGUCAAGCUUAUCUAGUUUACACGUAACAACUUGUAGAACAUUACAAAAUUUAUGCUUGCUAAUAACUUCUAGAACACUACAACACUUGACAUGUAAAAGGAAUUUGACGAGUCAUGGCCUACUAAAGAAAGUUACAUUACUAGUCUUAUAUCUAUCUUAAUAGACCACACAAGACUACAAAUUAAGUACCGUGACAGCCAUGAUUAUCUAGUUUAUGCGUAACAAUUUGCAGAAAAUUACAAACUUAGUUUUAGAAAAAUAGGCAAUCCAGAUUAGUGUUUGAGCUGUAAAGUGAAUAAGAUGAGUCAUGCGUGUUAUCACACCUUUUUGGUGGUGGAAUGAUAGUGCAAAACAAGGAACUUUAAUGAACAGUCCAAUAAUACACUUGUAAGUAGUGCCACCAAACAGAACAUACCAAAUGAUGAUUUUGAGAAGCAUCCAAGCACUUUCCACACAAACAAAUGCCAAUUGUGAAAGAGAUCAUUCCAUGGCAGCUAUAAAUAGCCCCGUAGCAUGACGAUCAUCCUUCCUCAUCCAUCAUUCUCAUAAGUAGAGCGCAUCAUUUAAGCCAAGCAAGCUGUGGUCAAUACAAAUCCACCAUGAAGACAUUUCUCAUCCUUGCCCUCCUUGCUAUCGUGGCGACCACCGCCACAACUGCAGUUAGAGUUCCAGUGCCACAAUUGCAGCCACAAAAUCCAUCUCAGCAACAGUCACAAGAGCAAGUUCCAUUGGUACAACAACAACAAUUUCUAGGGCAGCAACAACCAUUUCCACCACAACAACCAUAUCCACAGCCGCAACCAUUUCCAUCACAACAACCAUAUCUGCAGCUGCAACCAUUUCCGCAGCCGCAACUACCAUAUUCGCAGCCACAACCAUUUCGACCACAACAACCAUAUCCACAACCGCAACCACAAUAUUCGCAACCACAACAUCCAAUUUCACAGCAGCAGCAGCAGCAACAACAACAACAACAACAAGAACAACAAAUACUUCAACAAAUUUUGCAACAACAACUGAUUCCAUGCAUGGAUGUUGUAUUGCAGCAACACAACAUAGCGCAUGGAAGAUCACAAGUUUUGCAACAAAGUACUUACCAGCUGUUGCAAGAAUUGUGUUGUCAGCACCUAUGGCAGAUCCCUGAGCAGUCGCAGUGCCAGGCCAUCCACAAUGUUGUUCAUGCUAUUAUUCUGCGUCAACAACAAAAACAACAACAACAACCAUCGAGCCAGGUCUCCUUCCAACAGCCUCAGCAACAAUAUCCAUUAGGCCAGGGCUCCUUCCGGCCAUCUCAGCAAAACCCACAGGCCCAGGGCUCUGUCCAGCCUCAACAACUGCCCCAGUUCGAGGAAAUAAGGAACCUAGCGCUACAGACGCUACCUGCAAUGUGCAAUGUCUACAUCCCUCCAUAUUGCACCAUCGCGCCAUUUGGCAUCUUUGGUACUAACUAAGAAGAAAAUAACUCUAGUACUAGAUAUAUGAAACACCGUUUUCUCAGUCCAUGGUUUGGUCGUUGUAGCGGUGAAAAAAUAAAGUGACAUGCACUAUCAUGUAAGAACCCAAACUAUACUAGUUCAAACUUGGGAAUAAAAGACAAACACAGGUCUUGUCUACAUAUUUAUGCUGCAUCUAUUUAUAUAUUAAAAGUAAUAUAAGGUGAACCAGGAGCAAGGUAAAUAUGGUAGAAAAUUGCACGUUAAUUAGAAAUUACUAGCCCUCGAUCUGGUAAAUCUUAACAAAUAUAAUUAUCUUGACCGUUAGAUUUAUGUAACAUAUAUAAUGCUCUAGGCCUCCAACGACUGUACGUGACACAUCUGAACGCAGAUAUGUUAAAGAAAAUAUAUUUGGUAAAUGGUGGGCCUCUUUAAAAAGAGAACUUACGUACAUACACCAACUAAGAAAAACACAUACAUGUAAACGGGAAAAGGAUGAGAUUUUCUCACAUACGUGUGUUGAUGCUUAAAAGUGGCAUGAUCAUAAAGCAGCAUGCCAGGGUGAAAACCUUGCCGGGGUAAAAUCUUGCCGGUGUGAAAGCUUGCCGGUGUGAAGGCUUGCCGGUGUGGAAAGCUUGCCGGCACAGAAAGAUCGCCGGUGCUUGCCGGUGUGAAAUCUUGCCGGGGGAGAAACCUUGUCAGGGAGGAACCCUUGCCGGAGUACAAACCUUGCCGUAGUGAAACCUUGCCGGUGUGAAAGCUUGCCGGGUAGAAACAUUGCCGGUGUGGAAAGCUUACUCGGAUGGAAAACUUGCCGGGUUGGAGGCUGUGAUAGUCAAUCGAACGAGAAGUUGAAGAUGGGCUCAAAAGGUUAUUCAGAUGAUCUCGGAUGGAAAAAUGAUCUACAGGGGUUGUCUUCGUCUCGUCGAAACGAUCGAUUUUGAUAUAAAAAUCAUUCAAAUCCGAGUUCGUAUGCAAAAUUUAGAGCAAUCGGAGUGCAGCCCUGUCACGAGGCGAGAUGUGGCGCGCCCCACCAAACACAUGUCUGACGGGUAGCGCGAGGAAAUAGCCUGUGUUGCGAGACCGAUCUGACCCUCAAGAUGAUCUCUGAUCCAAAAACCUUCAACAUGAAAGUUGUUCGUCUCAUCGAAACGGUCAAGAUUGCUUUUGGGCUUGUUUUCAUCCGGGAUCGUUUACCACCGCAAAAAAGACCCGCAAGGUGCAGCCAGUUUAAACCGAACAGUUUUGGAAAGUUUGGAUAAACCAGUCCGAAUUUGACUAGGGUUUUGGACGUGAAUUGAUGUAAUUUUCUUGUAAGGAAAGCCUAGAUAAAUUCUUUGCUUGUACGGGAAGUCCAGCUGCCUCUUAUAUAUGUUGGGGGUGACGGGCGAUUGAAACAACACACAAUCGAACAAACACAUCUACUACUUUUUCGUGUUCAUCUACUUUUUAUCUCUCCCUUGUAUCUUUCUUCUCGUUCUUCGCUAGUUCUUCUUGCUGGAGGCUGCGGAUCCACGAGGCUCUAGGGGCGAGCGAAUCGACCUAGGGCAGCCCUGACGGGGUCCCUCCCGGGUGCGCGGGGUUUCGGGUCUGCAAAAGCGCCCGCCGACUGUCUUGCGUAUCACGCUAUCGGUCGGGUCUCCUUCGACGUGAGCUGCGGUGCAUCACCCCCGGCAUCGAGGGUACACGUGACGUGUUCGUGUGCGAACACACUUUUUCGCGACUCCACUGGGGACGAAGCUUUGAAUAGUCUCCAGCCUGUUCUUGCUACGAGGAGAGCGUCAUCAAGCGACUGCAUUCUACAACGGUAACAUGUAUCAUCAAUCUCCUUGCGUAGAUGCAAAUAGCCAUUAUGUUGAUGUUGCUAGAUCUUUCAAUGGACAUGUGAUGUCGGCCAGCCCUAAUGAGGAAAGGCCGACUAGUUAUUCCAUUGGAGAAACUUGGAAUUUACAGAAUCGUGACAUGCAACUUAUGAAUCUGAACUUUCGUGCAUCGGCAACAACUUUCAAUAUGCCGGUGAACAACACGAUUUGUUCGAGUGAUCAAUAUAGGACACCUCAUGUAAAAGUUUUAUCCAUCGGCAGCCGACUCGCAAUAUGCUGGUUCAUCCCCAAACAUGCCGAUGAAUGGGGGAAUCAGCCAUGCUUCUGUUAGCUAUUUGGCCGGUUAUCCUCAAACAUCAUAUACUACACCUCAUCCGAUUAAUUGUUCAGUGGCAUAUGAAACUAAAAAUAUUAAUAACACGGCUCACGUUCACGGUCAUGGACGAGUGAAUGGGGAUACUAUAGGAGCAUAUGUGUGUGACGCCCCCAAUUUAAUCGUACACUAAUCAUACACGCAAACAUGUACGAUCAAGAUCAGGGACUCACGGGAAGAUAUCACAACACAACUCUACAAAUAAAAUAAGUCAUGCAAGCAUCAUAUUACAAGCCAGGGGCCUCGAAGGCUCGAAUACAAGAGCUCGAUCAUAGACGAGUCAGCGGAAGCAACAAUAUCUGAGUACAGACAUAAGUUAAACAAGUUUGCCUUAAGAAGGCUAGCACAAACUGGGAUACAGAUUGAAAGAGGCACAGGCCUCCUGCCUGGGAACCUCCUAACUACUCCUGGUCGUCGUUCUGAGGGCAGCACGUAGUAGUAGGCACCUCCAGCGUAGUAGGAGUCGUCGUCGACGAUGGCGUCUGGAUCCUGGGCUCCAGCAUCUGGUUGCGACAACCAGGUAGAAGGGAUAGAGGGAAAAGAAGGAGAAAGCAACCGUGAGUACUCAUCCAAAGUACUCGCAAGCAAGGAGCUACACUACAUAUGUAUGCGUUGGUAUCAACUGGAAUAAGGCUAUUAUAUGUGGACUGAACUGCAGAAAGCCGGAAUACGAGGGAGAUAGCUAGUCCUUUCGAAGACUACGCUUUUGGUAACCUCCAUCUUGCAGCAUGUAGAAGAGAGUAGACGGAAGUCCUCCAAGUAGCAUCGCAUAGCAUAAACCUAACCGAUGAUCCUCCCCUCGUCGCCCUGUGCGAGAGCGAUCACCGGUUGUAUCUGGCUCUUGGAAGGGUGUGUUUUAUUAAGUAUCCGGUUCUAGUUGUCAUAAGGUCAAGGUACAACUCCGGGUCGUCCUUUUAUCGAGGGACACGGCUAUUCGAAUAGAUAAACUUCCCUGCAGGGGUGCACCACAUAACCCAACACGCUCGAUCCCAUUUGGCCGGACACACUUUUCUGGGUCAUGCCCGGCCUCGGAAGAUCAACACGUCGUAGCCCUACCUAGGCACAACAGAGAGGUCAGCACGCCGGUCUAAAUCCUAUGGCGCAGGGGUCUGGGCCCAUCGCCCUUUGCACACCUGCACGUUGCGAACGCGGCCGGAAGCAGACCUAGCCUAGUGGCGUUCCAGUCCAAUCCGGCGCGCGCCACUCAGUCACUGAUGUCACGAAGGCUUCGGCUGAUACCACGACGUCGAGUGGCCAUAACUGUCCCCGCAUAGAUGGUUAGUGCGUAUAAGCCAGAUGGCCAGACUCAGAUCAAAUACCCAGAUCUCGUUAAGCGUGUUAUGUAUCCGCGAACACCGACCAGGGCCAGGACCACCUCUCUCCUACGUGGUCUGAACCUGCCCUGUCGCUCCGCCACAAAGUAACAGUCGGGGGCCGUCGGGAACCCAGGCCCACCUCUACCGGGAUGGAGCCACCUACCCCUUCAGCCCCAACUACGAACAGUACCACAGGUAAUGUAACAGUGUAAAGUAUAUAGUAAAUGCCCGUGAUCACCUCCCGAAGUGAUCACGGCCCAGUAGUAUAGCAUGGCAGACGGACAAGAGAGUAGGGCCACUGAUGGAACACUAGCAUCCUAUACUAAGCAGUAGGAUAGCAGGUAAUGGUAACAAUAGUAGUAGCAAGGACAGGCUAUGCAUCAGGAUAGGAAUAACGGAAAGCAGUAACAUGCUACACUACUUUAAUGCAAGCAGUAUAGAGAAGAGUAGGCGAUAUCUGGUGAUCAAAGGGGGGGCUUGCCUGGUUGCUAUGGCAAGAGAGAGCGGUCGUCAACACCGUAGUCGUACUGUGUAGCAGCGCCGUCAGUCUCGGUGUCUAGCGAGAGAAGAGGGGGAGGAAACAAUAAAUAUAAUGCAAACAAAUGCAUGAUGAUGCAUGACACGACAAAGCGUGAUGCUAGGUGUGCCCUAACGCGGUACGAGGUGGUACCGGUGAAGGGGGGAAACAUCCGGGAAAGUAUUCCCGGUGUUUCGCGUUUUCGGACAGAGGAGUCAGAGGGGGAAAGUUGCGUGUUCGGUAUGCUAGGGAGGCGUGGUGGACGAACGGGUUGUCUAUCCGAGUUCGUCUCGUCGUUCUGAGCAACUUUCAUGUUGAAAAUAAUUUAAUCCGAGUUACGUAUUAAAAGAUAUGGUUUUCUAAAGAUUUUACUAAUUUCUGGAAUUUAAUUAAUUAUUUAAUUUAAUUUGAAAUUUGGAUUUAUGACAUCAGCAUGAUGUCAUGCUGACAUCAGCAGUCAACAUGGGUUGACUAGGUCAACUGAUGCGUGGGUCCAGUGGGACCCACCUGUCAUACUAUAUUAGGUUAAUUAGGGUUUAGUUAAUUGAUUAGGCUAAUCUAAUCAGGAUUACUUUGUUUAAUUAAUUCUUUAAUUAAUUAAUUAUCAUUUUAACUAAUUUUAAUUAUUAUUUAUUAAUUCAUUCAUUUUUUUAAAUUAUUAUUUUUAUUUCGUUCUCGUUUCAGGGGGGCGUGGGGCCCCGCACACAGGGCCACCGCGAGGCUGUUGCCAGCGGGCGCUGGGGCGAUGGGUGCGGGCGCACCCGAGCGGGCACUCGCCCGCAGGGCGGGAUGAGCCGCCGGCGGGCAGCGACAGGCGCGUGCCAACCGGGCGGUGGCCGCGGCUGAUAGGGCGCAGGAAGGGGAGAGGCGAGAACGCGACGCACGGGGAAGCAGCAUCAGGGGCGAGGAGCACCACGGGACGAAGCGCAGCGGGCGCCGGUCNNNNNNNNNNNNNNNNNNNNNNNNNNNNNNNNNNNNNNNNNNNNNNNNNNNNNNNNNNNNNNNNNNNNNNNNNNNNNNNNNNNNNNNNNNNNNNNNNNNNNNNNNNNNNNNNNNNNNNNNNNNNNNNNNNNNNNNNNNNNNNNNNNNNNNNNNNNNNNNNNNNNNNNNNNNNNNNNNNNNNNNNNNNNNNNNNNNNNNNNNNNNNNNNNNNNNNNNNNNNNNNNNNNNNNNNNNNNNNNNNNNNNNNNNNNNNNNNNNNNNNNNNNNNNNNNNNNNNNNNNNNNNNNNNNNNNNNNNNNNNNNNNNNNNNNNNNNNNNNNNNNNNNNNNNNNNNNNNNNNNNNNNNNNNNNNNNNNNNNNNNNNNNNNNNNNNNNNNNNNNNNNNNNNNNNNNNNNNNNNNNNNNNNNNNNNNNNNNNNNNNNNNNNNNNNNNNNNNNNNNNNNNNNNNNNNNNNNNNNNNNNNNNNNNNNNNNNNNNNNNNNNNNNNNNNNNNNNNNNNNNNNNNNNNNNNNNNNNNNNNNNNNNNNNNNNNNNNNNNNNNNNNNNNNNNNNNNNNNNNNNNNNNNNNNNNNNNNNNNNNNNNNNNNNNNNNNNNNNNNNNNNNNNNNNNNNNNNNNNNNNNGGCCUGGGGUUUGUCCUAGCUAGCAGCUGGGCCGAGUGGCCCAGUGGGGGGGGGGUUGUUUUAUUCCUUUCCCUUUUAUACCUUUUCACACUUUUCUUCUUUUGUUUUAUUUUAGUUACACAUUAAUUUUAAUUUUUGACAAAUAUAUCUAUAGCCCCUAAAAUAAUGUUUCAGAACAAUCCACUACUAUAGAAAGUUUUACCCUGAUAAAAUAGUCUAGUAUUUUAUAAAAUACCAAACUCGUUUAAAUAGUUGUUUAGCUACUAUUUAAAUCAUUUUAGUGCUUUAAAUCUUUUUACUAAAAUGUGGUUCCUCCACCAUUUGGACUUAGGAUUUAUUUGUCCCAUUUUGAACAUUUUAGUCUUAACGUUUGAAGAAUUUACCGUUUGACUCGAUUUUGAAUUUGAAUUUGAAUCGGUGUCGAACUAACACGAGAUUAGCAACAGUAACCAUCGUGACGUGGCAUCAUUAACAGAGGUUUACUGUAUAUCAAAUACCCGGGCGUCACAAUUCUCCUCCACUACAAGAAAUCUCGUCCCGAGAUUUAAGAGGGGAGUAUGGGGGAAAGAUCUGGUUACGAAAUUCUAACGAGUCUUCUCGGUCUUGCUUGCUCUUGUCGAAAUGGUCGAUCCAUUAUGUUGAUGUUUUCAUUUCUCUGCUUCAGGUCAUCAUGGUGAAGUCGUCCUUUUCUUCGGGAACUCCAACGUGCUUACGAAUAGGUAAGGGGCAGCUUGGCUACGACAGAAUGCUUAUGAGGGAAACAAUCUGGUGAUAACCCAUGAAUGAACAUAAGAUUAUCUCUCGAGUUGAACAUAUAAAAUACAUCAAGAGUAAGGUACGAAGGUACCAUGAGAAGUUUCAAACGGAUAGGCAAUCGUUCGAUGUCUGAAACAACACGCGAAAGGGGUCCAGAGCAACGAGAUUGAGUAUUGCGUCUGUUACCAGAAUAGAUCACUAGGACGGUGGUCUGUGAAUUACAUACAAGGUCACGCACGAGGAAUAACUUUAGGAACAGGGGGUGUACAGGAGAGUCAGGUUCGAUCCUGUGGAACUGUGGGUUAUGGGCCCACCAUGUGGGUUAAAGUAGGAAGGGCAGUGACGUCUUGCAAGAUCAUGUAAGCAAGGCAUGUCAGAGGAUAGCCUGUCAGCUAUGUCGACGACAACAUCGAUACCAAGGGCGAGGGACGAAGAGAACCAUUUUCCUGCUCGUUGAACGAGGCGGACCAAUAAGAAAAGUUCUCGUCCAUCAGUGGUUACCAGAAUGUCAUCAACAAAGGUAAUAGGGUCUUUCUGACAGAGUGGUACAACGAGGUGACUGCUUAUAUAAUAUAGAUUACAAGAAGGUUUAAACAGAACAAUGGAAAGGAAAAUGUGUGUAAACACACAUUUCAAGGGUAUAUCCUUCCCAAGGACAAGCAAAGCAAGAUAUCCAUGAAAGGAUAUAAUGUAGAAAACUCUUUAGGUAAGGUGAGAGAAAUUUCAUGACAUUACCCAUACAAUGGUGUUUGGAUAAAUGAGCGAGAAACAUUUAGCAUUGGGCUUCAAAUGUUCUUUGUGGAAAAUUGGAGUACCACAGACAUGCUUCGAGAUAGCGUUGGCGUGGUAUUCAAGCAAAGGUCAGACUUAGGAUGCACAAAGGAUUCAUCAGGAACAACUUAUAGAAUAAGUCUUACCAUUUCUCAAGGAAGAAUAGAUAACCUUGCUAAAAAGAAAAACUAUAACAUUAGGUCCUCCGACCAGGUGGGCUAGGCAUGCUAUCACCUUACUGGGUUAUAUUGAUAACAAUGUUAUAACUCUUGGAAAUAUGUCUCAACCAUCAUAUCUGACCGAGAUUCAGAUCCGAUUGGUGUCAGGAUACAUCAGACAUCAGGAUGCCUGAGAAGAGAAGGUGCAACACAAUUUAACGAGAUGACACUGCGAGAAUCUCAGAAAUGAUCUAUGGAAGCGAGUUCCGAAGCAAGAGUUCAUCAUUAAACCAAGGAGAGGAUGAGGGGUGGCUGAUGAACUAACGGCAAUUCAUCGAGAUUUCCAAAAGAUGGAUUUCCACAAUCAUGUGAACAAAGAGUUAACAUUUGUCAGAUCAAACAAUAUAAUGAGGUGUGCUCGAGGAAAACAUACUCAAUUAAACAUUGGUGGAAAGCUGCACCCAAAAUAUGGGCUUAGGUAGCCUGAUCAAUGUUGGAACGGUGAUUCGAUAACCAAUAUUCUAAGAAUGAAAGGUCGACCAUUAACUUCAAAGCAAUAUGGUUGCUAGAAGUACAGAAUCCAAGCAACAACGUUCACCUGUUGGUAUCCCGGUUAGAAUCAACACGGGAACCAAGAAAGAAUGAUGAUGGUGAGGAGUAUCGCUAUACCAAGAAUUCUCAAGAGGUGGAGCAAUCCUCACAACAUACAUGUCAUCAAGGACAUUGAUACUUCAAGGUAGAAUAUCAUAAAAGCUAGAUAGCAAGUUGCAUCCAUAACAUGGACAAGUUUGUGUUGGGGGAAGGCAAGAAAGUGAUCGAUGAUAACACAAAUCAUCGAGGGCAAGGAUGGUACUUUUCAUUAUGAAUUCGAUUGAUAUCCUGCAAGAGCUCAAGAUGUGGGUGCUGAUGACGACACAUUUGUCGAGAGAUUUCAUGAAGAUGUAGUCUAUCGGCGAUGACAUCAAGUCAAAGGAAUUAUGAAGCAAAAGGUUAUCGGAACCAUGGGUACGACACAAACUCAAAAUCAAGCUUGUUGUUCAAGGUGAAAGAUAUGACGAGAAAGAUCAACGUAAGCUUAGCUCAUCGUUGAAAGUUGUGUUCCGGGAAGAAGGACCAGGUAGCACAGUUAAAAUUUAGCACGGUAAUGAUAUAGCCAACCGGGCUAGGAAUGACUUGAAGGAUUAUUAAACUCAUAAGCAGUAAAAAUUACUUAUAGUUAUUGAAUCGAAGUACAGACUCGAUUCACUGUCGGUGUCCUUGAGUGUCUAACAACUCAGAACCCGGGGAAAAUUUUGGAACCAGUGAGAAAUAAUACUUGAAGAAUAACUCAUAAGAAGUUAUGCAGUUCCAUGAUAAUCUCGAGAUACCAGGGGGUAAUACUCGACGACAGAUCAAAGUAGAGGUUGGACUAGGGAUUGCUCUGUAGAAGACAAGUGCUCAAACUUGCACGAGAAAUGGAAUCAAGGAGAAACAUGGUCGAAACCUCGUCCACAGGUACAAGAUGAACUUAUAACAAGUGGACAAUUAUUUUAAGAGAAGCUUCCAUGAUAAGGUAUACAUCGUGUCCAUGGGCAUGAACACAGGGUUCAAGGUCGACUCCCACUUAUUCAACACAUAACCUUUCAUGCACCUCUCGUAUUUCAAAAAUGACAUUAGUUCUUGAAAGUUUUUACCUGGUGCAAUACCAGAUACAUAUUACCCGUGAAAUCUUUCGGGUUCACACGGAUUAGGCAAGGCGUAGGUUCAACCCAUCAGGGCAUCUUAGGAACAUAUACCACAAACUUCGGAGUAAAUAAUACAAGCUUGAAAGUAGAGCAUGGUUGACAAAAGGGGAGGAUACAAUUUACCACAGGCAUUAUGUAUCGGAGAAAGAACUCACAAGGUGAUUAAUUUUGAAGGACACUGUCGGAUAAUAAUCCAACAGUGGAAUUGGCGAUCCACAAUGGAGCUGAUGUGAGUAUCGAUACCCAAUCAGAGGAAGAAAGAAUGCAAAUGCAUCGGUUUAUAGAACAUCUGAAUAAUUCAACGUUUAAAUAGCAAAGGAAUUAUGAUUUUCAAAUCAAGGGAUCGGGAGCAAAUGCUCUGAUUAGGGAUGGGUAAGUAGAAUAGCCUUAGGGGUACAUGCGACGACAUUUGGAUUUGUUGAGAACCAGCUCAUGUUUAAAAUGACGUCUGAGCCGGAAUGAUAAUUUAAAAGGAUCAACUGAUGAUUGCGUGCAUUCGCACUCAUGUUGAGUCAAUAGGAUCAAAAAGACGAUGCCUAAGGAUACUAACGAAUAUUUCCAGACAUAUGGAAAGCAUCCAUAAUGCAAGCAGGCAAGUAUUGCAGAGCAAUAAGCUACUAAGGAUUUUUGGAGGAUCGAAUAGUAUUUUGAAGACCAUUGUGAAACACAUGAACAACUGGGGAUGAGUGGAUACUCGACAAGUGCGAGGAUUUAAUUGAAGGGGUAUUCAUGUGGCAAGGAACUGCUAGGCAGUAGGCACAAAGUAUUCUCGGAACAAUAGAGAGAAUUUUGGGGCAUCUUGUAAUAACAAGAUCAAUGAGGAAUGAUUAUAUGAAUAGCACAUGUAGGUGGUUAUCCAUAGAGGUCUAUCGAUAGAAGGGAAUUGCAAAAGCAACAGGCACAAGGUCUCGACAGAAUAUCGGAGAGUAUCUUCGAAAUCUUCUAGUGUAGUCGGCGAUCAUCUGGAUUGAAAGGGCUCUCCGGGAGAAAGUAUUUUCGAGAACCUAAGUUAGAUUUUUAGUAAAUUCAUUAAACCCGAAUAGGAGGGAGUUCAGAGUCCCAGAGCAUAGACGAGGAAUAAAAGAUCCUAAUACCACCCAAUGGCGACGUGGGCCCAUAGGCCACACAGCCAUGUUAGUAAAGGUUUUGCAAUGACUAGACUCAACUUCGGCCAAGGAGGUGGAAAGGGGAUUCCUACAGGCAGUCGGCUCUGAUACCAACUUGUGACACCCCCGAUUUAAUCGUACACUAAUCAUACACGCAAACGUGUACGAUCAAGAUCAGGGACUCACGGGAAGAUAUCACAACACAACUCUACAAAUAAAAUAAGUCAUACAAGCAUCAUAUUACAAGCCAGGCGCCUCGAAGGCUCGAAUACAAGAGCUCGAUCAUAGACGAGUCAGCGGAAGCAACAAUAUCUGAGUACAGACAUAAGUUAAACAAGUUUGCCUUAAGAAGGCUAGCACAAACUGGGAUACAGAUCGAAAGAGGCGCAUGCCUCCUGCCUGGGAUCCUCCUAACUACUCCUGGUCGUCGUUCUGAGGGCAGCACAUAGUAGUAGGCACCUCCAGUGUAGUAGGAGUCGUCGUCGACGAUGGCGUCUGGAUCCUGGGCUCCAGCAUCUGGUUGCGACAACCAGGUAGAAGGGAUAGAGGGAAAAGAAGGAGAAAGCAACCGUCAGUACUCAUCCAAAGUACUCGCAAGCAAGGAGCUACACUACAUAUGUAUGCGUUGGUAUCAACUGGAAUAAGGCUAUUAUAUGUGGAUUGAACUGCAGAAAGCCGGAAUACGAGGGGGAUAGCUAGUCCUUUCGAAGACUACGCUUCCGGUAACCUCCAGCUUGCAGCAUGUAGAAGAGAGUAGACGGAAGUCCUCCAAGUAGCAUCGCAUAGCAUAAACCUAACCGAUGAUCCUCCCCUCGUCGCCCUAUGAGAGAGCGAUCACCGGUUUUAUCUGGCUCUUGGAAGGGUGUGUUUUAUUACGGUUCUAGUUGUCAUAAGGUCAAGGUACAACUCCGGGUCGUCCUUUUACCGAGGGACACGGCUAUUCGAAUAGAUAAACUUCCCUGCAGGGGUGCACCACAUAACCCAACACGCUCGAUCCCAUUUGGCCGAACACACUUUUCUAGGUCAUGCCCGUCCUCGGAAGAUCAACACGUCGCAGCCCUACCUAGGCACAACAGAGAGGUCAGCACGCCGGUCUAAAUCCUAUGGCGCAGGGGUCUGGCCCCAUCGCCCUUUGCACACCUGCAUGUUGCGGACGCGGCCGGAAGCAGACCUAGCCUAGUGGCGUUCUAGUCCAAUCCGGCGCGCGCCACUCAGUCGCUGACGUCACGAAGGCUUCGGCUGAUACCACGACGUUGAGUGCCCAUAACUGUCCCCACGUAGAUGGUUAGUGCGUAUAAGCCAGAUGGCCAGACUCAGAUCAAAUACCCAGAUCUCGUUAAGCGUGUUAAGUAUCUGCGAACGCCGACCAGGGCCAGGCCCACCUCUCUCCUAGGUGGUCUGAACCUGCCCGGUCGCUUCGCCACAAAGUAACAGUCGGGGGCCGUCGGGAACCCAGGCCCACCUCUACCGGGAUGGAGCCACCUGCCCCUUUAGCCCCCAACUCCGAACAGUACCAUAGGUAAUGUAACAGUGUAAAGUAUAUAGUAAAUGCCCGUGAUCACCUCCCGAAGUGAUCACGGCCCAGUAGUAUAGCAUGGCAGACGGACAAGAGUGUAGGGCCACUAAUGGAACACUAGCAUCCUAUACUAAGCAGUAGGAUAGCAGGUAAUGGUAAUAAUAUUAGUAGCAAGGACAGGCUAUGCAUCAGGAUAGGAAUAACGGAAAGCAGUAACAUGCUACACUACUCUAAUGCAAGCAGUAUAGAGAAGAGUAGGCGAUAUCUGGUGAUCAAAGGGGGGGCUUGCCUGGUUGCUCUGGCAAGAGAGAGGGGUCGUCAACACCGUAGUCGUACUGUGUAGCAGCAACGUCGGUCUCGGUGUCUAGCGAGAGAAGAGGGGGAGGAAACAAUAAAUAUAAUGCAAACAAAUGCAUGACGAUGCAUGACACGACAAAGCGUGAUGCUAGGUGUGCCCUAACGUGGUACGAGGUGGUACCGGUGAAGGGGGGAAACAUCCGAGAAAGUAUUCCCGGUGUUUCACAUUUACGGACAGAGGAGUCAGAGGGGGAAAGUUGCGUGUUCGGUAUGCUAGGGAGGCGUGGUGGACGAACGAGUUGCGUAUCCGGGUUCGUCUCGUCGUUCUGAGCAACUUUCAUGUUGAAAAUAAUUUAAUCCGAGUUACGUAUUAAAAGAUAUGGUUUUCUAAAGAUUUUACUAAUUUCUGGAAUUUAAUUAAUUAUUUAAUUUAAUUUGAAAUAUGGAUUUAUGACAUCAGCAUGAUGUCAUGCUGACAUCAGCAGUCAACAUGGGUUGACUGGGUCAACUGACGCGUGGGUCCAGUGGGACCCAUGAAGGAAAUAUGCCCUAGAGGCAAUAAUAAAGUUAUUAUUUAUUUCCUUAUAUCAUGAUAAGAGUUUAUUAUUCAUGCUAGAAUUGUAUUAACCGGAAACAUAAUACAUGUGUGAAUACAUAGACCAACAGAGUGUCACUAGUAUGCCUCUACUUGACUAGCUCGUUAAUCAAAGAUGGUUAUGUUUCCUAACCAUGAACAAAGAGUUGUUAUUUGUUUAACGAGGUCACAUCAUUAGUAGAAUGAUCUGAUUGACAUGACCCAAUCCAUUAGCUUAGCACCCGAUCGUUUAGUAAGUUGCUAUUGCUUUCUUCAUGACUUAUACAUGUUCCUAUAACUAUGAGAUUAUGCAACUCCCGUUUACCGGAGGAACACUUUGGGUACUACCAAACGUCACAACGUAACUGGGUGAUUAUAAAGGAGUAUUACAGGUGUCUCCAAUGGUAGAUGUUGGGUUGGCGUAUUUCGAGAUUAGGGUUUGUCACUCCGAUUGACGGAGAGGUAUCUCUGGGCCCUCUCGGUAAUACACAUCACAUAAGCCUUGCAAGCACUGCAACUAAUAAGUUAGUUGUGAGAUGAUGUAUUACGGAACGAGUAAAGAGACUUGCCGGUAACGAGAUUGAACUAGGUAUUGGAUACCGACGAUCGAAUCUCGGGCAAGUAACAUACCGAUGACAAAGGGAACAACGUAUGUUGUUAUGCGGUCUGACCGAUAAAGAUCUUUGUAGAAUAUGUAGGAGCCAAUAUGGGCAUCCAGGUCCCGCUAUUGGUUAUUGACCGGAAGCGUGUCUCGGUCAUGUCUACAUUGUUCUCGAACCGUAGGGUCCGCACGCUUAACGUUACGAUGACAGUUAUUAUGAGUUUAUGCAUUUUGAUGUACCGAAGGUUGUUCGGAGUCCCGGAUGAGAUCACGGACAUGACGAGGAGUCUCGAAAUGGUCGAGACGUAAAGAUUGAUAUAUUGGAAGCCUAUGUUUGGGCACCGGAAGCGUUCCGGGUGAAAUCGGGAUUUUACCGGAAUACCGGGAGGGUUACCGGAACCCCCCGGGAGACUAAUGGGCCUAUUGGGCCUUAGUGGAAAAGAGAAAAGGGAAGCCCACUAGCUGGCCAGCGCCCCCCUAGAGUCCUAUUAGGAAUAGGACAAGGGGCCGGCCCCCCUUCUCUCUCUUUUUCCCCGGGAGUCCUAAUAGGAUUAGGAUUAGGGGGAGGAGUCCUACUCCCGGUGGGAGUAGGACUCCCCUGCGCCUCCUCUCUCCUAGCCGGCCGAACCCCCUGCCCCUGGCCUUUUAUAUACGGGGGCAGGGGGCACCCCAAGACACACAACUUGAUCCUUGAGAUCGUUCCUUAGCCGUGUGCGGUGCCCCCUGCCACCAAAUUCCACCUCGAUCGUACCGUUGUAGUGCUUAGGCGAAGCCCUGCGUCAGUAGUACAUCAAGAUCGUCAACACGCCAUCGUGCUGACGGAACUCUUCCUCGACGCUUUGCUGGAUCGGAGCCCGAGGAACGUCAUCGAGCUGAACGUGUGCUAAGAACUCGGAGGUACCGGAGUAACGGUGCUUGGAUCGGUCGGAUCGGGAAGAAGACGUACGACUACUUCCUCUACGUUGUGUGAUCGCUUCCGCAGUCGGUCUGCGUUGGUACGUAGACAACACUCUCCUCUCUCGUUGCUGUGCAUCACCAUGAUCUUGCGUGUGCGUAGGAAAAUUUUUGAAAUUACUGCGUUACCGAACAGUGGCAUCUGAGCCUGGUUUUAUGGUUUGAUGUUAUAUGCACGAGUAGAACACAAGUGAGUUGUGGGCGAUACAAGUCAGACUGCCUACCAGCAUGUCAUACUUUGGUUCGGCGGUAUUGUUGGUUGAGACGAUCCGGACCAACCUUACGCGUACUCUUACGCGAGACCGGUUCCCUCGACGUGCUUUGCACAUAGAUGGCUUGCGGAAGACUGUCUCUCCAACUUUAGUUGAACCAAGUGUGACUACGCCCGGUCCUUGAGAAGGUUAAAACAGAGUCUAUUUGACGAACUAUCGUUGUGGUUUUGAUGCGUAGGUGAGAUGAGUUCUUACUUAAGCCCGUAGCAGCCACGUAAAACUUGCAACAACAA
rnacentral:lncRNA from 1 species